rnacentral:lncRNA from 1 species
CGAUGUUUUUUUUUUUUUUUUUUUUUUUUGUGUAGGCAUGUUUCAUGGCUGAAACCUCGCCGUCUUUUCCUUUGUCCAUGUUGUUGAUGUUGCGUCGGCAAAACUGUCCACACCAAUUAAAAUGUAGGCAGAAAAGACUGUUCUGGCCACAGAAAAAUGUCGGCAGAAAGAUCUUUUCUUCCACGAUCAUCAUCACGUCCGCAAAAAUAGACUUUCUAGCCACAUUUGUUUCAUGGGCAGAAACUGUUUCUGGUAACGAAAAGAUUUUUGUUGCCAUAAAGAAAAAAAUUUUCCACGCUAAAUUUGUCGAUAGAAAUAUAUAUAUGCACAUAGAAAAAAUUAUUUCAAUUUUUUUUUCUUAUUUAUUAUUAGUAUUGUAUGCUUCUAAAUUAAUUUUCAAAUAUAUAAUGAAAAAUAUGAAACAUUGCAACAAAAAACUAAAAAAUAAAAAUAUUUCUAACCAUUAAUACUUUGUCAAAAUAUGACAAAUUACCAUAAUUAUUUAAUGUGUCAAGGUACAUGAGCUAUACUAAAUUUUAUUUUGGCAUAUCAAAAUGAACCAAAAAAUAUUAAAUACACAAAAAAGAGUUAACUCACUCAGAACGUCUUAAAAAAAGUAGUCAUUUCCAGCUCCUUCAAACUACAUAAACCUGGAAAAGGUACAUUAAAAUGAAUAAAUCCCAAGUGCGUCUUUGAAACUAAAGUCUAACUAAAAAUGUGCUAGAAAGUGUCUUGACUCUCAAACCCAACCUAUAAAACAAGUUUCAAAUGCCUAAGUGUGAUCACAAAAUACCUACAAACCAUCCAAAAAGCUUAGAAAAUGUCAUAUAUACUUAAAAAUGUCAUGUAUGUUUCAAGCAUUCAAAGACCUAAAAAUGUCAUAGGUUUCAAUCAAAACGUCCAAAGGCCCAAGUGUUUAAGUGUCUAGGUGUCUAGGUAGUACUUCUACAAACGAUCCAAAAACCUAAAUUUGAAAUGUUACUAUAUGCAUGAUUGACGACCGUAACUGGCAGGAUAGCCACAUAUUAAUUUAAAUUAUGCUUUAACAAUAUAAUUUUUAAAAUUGUAGUUUAGAAAAGUGCCCAAGUGUUUGAAGAUGCAUCCUCUUCUACUUGCUCUUCUUGAUCCAACUUUUUUUUUAUGUCAGCCCACUUUUGUUCCAAUUUUGCAAGUUCAUUUGCUAACUUUUCAUAUGCUUGUUCAAGGUAUGUCAUCUCAUUCUUCUCUUUCUCACUUACCACAUUUACAUAUAAUAUCUAAUAAAUAUAAAUAUUAAUCAUAGUCCACUUUUCUUUUUCUUUUUUUUUCUUUUUUUCUAUUUUUUAAUAUAUUAUUAAUAAUAAAUAUGGGUAAAUUAGACAUUUGGACCUUAUAUUUGUGUAAAAUAUUAGUCAAUUUAUGACAUUUAUGAAAAAUUUGAGAAAUUUAGAUCAAUCUUCUAAUAUAGUAUAUAAUUUUAGGACAUAUGAGUUACCCUAAAUGUUAAUAUAUAAAACUAGAAUUGAUUGAUCAAUCCAAAAAUCAAAAUGAAAACACUUGAAAAUCACUAAAACUUGUUAAUUUAUGUCCUCAUGUCACCUUUCAAUUGUUCCAAACUUGAUUAUUUCUAAUUUCAUCAUUAAUUUAAGAAACGAUGUAACAAUUUGUGAUUGGUCCAAAAUUUCUCGGCUAACGAAAUGAUAUCGAAUCUAAUAACAAAUAUGUUCAUUUUAAUAUGAGAAAUUCAUCUAUUCAUUUGUUUGAGUAGAAAAUCUAGAUUGAGCAUAGUUGUGACUGCAUCUCUCCAAAUUUUAUUUAUUUUUUCAAUUAGUACGAGUAGUAGGAUUGGUCUAGUUCAACUCAAAUAAUAUGUGUUAAUAGUUUGUAGUUCAAACCUCUUUAUUUUAUUUGAAAAAGAAAAAGAAAAACGAAGUUUAGUUUUAUGGGUUAGUUAAACCUUACCAAUUAUAUUCUGGUGAAAAACUCUUAUAUUAUUCCAUUUUGGUUUUUUCUCCUAAACUCUUAUACGGUUAACUAGUGUACAAGAAAAUAAAUAAAAAAGACAUCACCACAUCGAAAAAGAAAAAAAGAUUAAUAUGGUAACAAAAGAAGACCAUUUAUGAUAUUUGACUAAACCCUAAAAAUCAAAUUGAAACUGCCUUCGUAAAAUCUGAAUCCAAACUUUUAAAACUGCAAAACCCAAAUAGAUACCAUAUACGAACUAUAUAUAUAUAUACACACCAAAUUUGAAACAUAAUCAACUUGCAUUACAAAAAAAAAAAAAAAUAUCCCUCAAUUUGCAUUUUGUAUACACAAAAGUAUCACUAAGCUUUUAAUAAUUUCGUAAAGUUAUUUUAUACGGAUGUGUACUUAUUUUAUUUUGCUUUGCCAUGAACCUUUAACACCAAAUUUUAUUUUAUUUUUUAUUCUAUUCAAUAUCGUUCUUUUUUUACUUGGAGAUUUCAAUUUGAAAAAAAAAUAAGUAAAUGAUGAGAUGUGAGAGGUUUAAGUCUAGAAAAAUAAAAUAAAAUUAGUUUUUAAUUUGAGUUUAUAUGAUUUAAAUGUGUUAAUUAUGUUUUCGGGUUGACAGAGAUGUUUUAUCAAUUUAUAAAUUAAUAAGAUUUUUUUAAAAUUUUAUCAAUUUAACUAAUAUGAUAACUAAUCUAGAACCUAAUUAUUUAAAUAUAAAAGUAAACAUUAUAGUUAAUGGAAUUCUACUGACAUAAUCAAAAUAAGUUUUUUUUGUUUAAAAACAUUGAGGAGGAAAACAGAUGUAAGUAUAAUAAAAUAGAAUGUUUAUAAAAAAAUAGAAUUUUAACAAAAACAAAUUAAAUAUUGGUCUUUUUAAUAAAAAAAACUUAUUUACCUUUAUAGAAAUAAAAAAUACUAAAAGAAAAAAAAUGUAUUAAAUUCCGUUAUAAAGUGUAAAUAUGUUUGGUUAAUUUUCAUAAAUAUAAUAAAUUAUCAAAAUAUUUAUGAACACCGCAACAAAAUGAAAAUCUUCUUGAAACGGACUAUUUUUAAAAAAAAUAUUUUAGGUUUGCCCUCCAUUUUCGUUGUCUUUCCAUCGUCUUCUUCUCUUCUUCUGUAGUUUUUUUCUUCAAAACUAUUAUUUGGUUUAAGUUCGUGUACCAAAUAUAAAAUAUCUAUUUUUUUUCAAACGGUUAUUUGGUUGUUCCAAAAUAUAAAAGAUCGUGAAAAAAAAUCAUUAGAUAUUGGAUCGUCAAAUUUAAACGAUCGUCUACCAGUCAAAUUUAAACGAACGAUCGUGUACAAAGAAUCUUAAAAAAGCCGUUGAAAUUUAGAUUUGGGUAGUCAAAUUUAAACGAUCGUAUUUCAAAUAUAAAUCAAAUCUAAACGAUCAAGUACCAAAUGUAAAUGAUCGUUUUCCAAACAUAAACGAUCUUACCAAAAAAAUCUUGAAAAAAAUUAUUGAAAUUUGAUUACCGAACUAUAUGUAAAUGACCGUAUACAAAAAAAAUAUAUGAAAAAAAUCGUUUAGAUUUGACUACCUAAUCUACCAAUUGUGUACAAAAAAAUAUUGAAAAAAAAGUAUAAUAGUCAAAUUUUACCAAUCAUUUCCCAAAUAUAUUACACGCUAAAUGUAAAUUAAUCAUAGUAUAUUUUUUAUAUUUUUUAUUGUGAGCAUGUGAGCUUUUUUCGAUUUUAAAAUAAUUCAAUAUCAUGUAAAUAUUUUGCUAUUUUGUUAUAUUUUUACAAUUUCCUUAGGGGGCGUGGAGUAGUUAUUAUAAUUUAUGAUUAUUAUAGUCUUUGUUUGAGGUUUAGAUUAUUAUAAUUUAUGUUUGAAAAAGUUAACAGAAAUAGUGACAUAGGACAGUUGAAGUGAAAAAUGGUGAAAGAGAGAGUAAGGAACAGUGAUGGAUGAAAAAUAAAGAAAAAAAAAUAGAAUAGUCUUAAUCUUACCCUAAAAAUUAUGAUAACUCGGUGCUAAACAUGCAGUGAAGUAAUAGAUUGUUUGAUAGUAGAAGGGUCAAACGCGUUUUUUACCAUUGAACUUACCUUAUUUUCAAACCCUAAUUAAAAGGUAAAAAGUGCAAAAUAAAACACUAAACAUGGGCCCACUCCUUUGUUCUCCCAAAUCCAAUUGGCCCCACAUCCCUCAAAAGAAAAUAAAAAAAGAAAAAAGAAAAAAUAACUUUCAUCCUAUAUCUAAAGAAAUUUCCGUCUUUCAAAACCCAAAAACUCCAAUUCCCAAUUUUUCCAUUUUCCAACAUUCAUUUUCUCUCUUCAACUUUGACCACGGGAGUUUCCGAUGGCGGACUACGGCGGAGCUAUUUCCCUCUCCCACCAACCUCCCACCUCCUCUUCCUCCUCCGACGACCACAGCCCUCCAACAAGACCUCAGACAAAACCCAGCAGAACCCCUACCUCCGGCGGUGCCGCCUCGUCAGUAGACACCUCAACCAUGAAAAAGCCACGUGGAAGGCCACCUGGAUCAAAGAACAAACCAAAGCCUCCAAUAGUGAUAACCAAAGAGAAUGAAUCAAGCAUGAAGCCCGUUGUCAUCGAGAUCUCGGCUGGAAACGACGUCGUUGAUACUCUCCUUCAUUUUGCAAGAAAACGACACGUCGGCCUCACUGUCCUUAGCGGCUCUGGCUCCGUUUCAAAUGUUACGUUACGACAUCCAAUGUCCCAUUCGACAUCUUUAUCACUUCAUGGACCUUUCAGCCUUGUUUCCCUCUCUGGCUCUUUUCUUGCUAAUACCACGCCGUUUUCCUCUAAACCUCAUUCUCUUUCUCCUUCUCCUUCUCCUUCUCCUUCUUCCUCUUUUGGAAUUUGUCUUGCUGGUGCUCAAGGUCAGGUGAGCUUUAACCCCAUUAAAUCCGAUACGUUAUGGUGAAUUUUUAAUUAUUCUCUCUCUCUUUUUUUUAGGUUUAUUGUUCCUGUAGUUUAGAGAAAACUAAAGUUUAGUCCCAUAAUUUGGUAAAGUGUCUUAAAUAGUUUCGAUUUUUUAUUCUAACUCUAAACAAUAUUAUCAACUGUAGAACUAUAUGAACUAAAAUUUAAAUUUCUCUCAAAUAAUAUGUAAUUUACCUAUAAUUUUGUGAGUGAAUGAUGUUGGAGUUUAGUUAUACUAGCAAGUUGAACACUUUUGUUUAAAGUUUAGUAAGUAAUUAUUUAAUAUUAAAAGAAGUUAUUAUGAAUAACAAAAAAGAAAUUAUUUUAACACUUGACAAAAAUAAACUUAAAUGAUUACAAAUAAUAUGAUAGAUUUUGAUGUAUUUAUAAAAUAUAUAUAUAUAUAUUUUACCAUAUUAAAUGGAUGAAUAAGACCUUCCAAUGUAUUGUGUCUAUUAGAUUUAUAAGAAUGGUUCCUUUUGAUCAAGAUUUUUUUUUUUUAGUUUAGCAUUUAAACUUUGUUGUUGCUUACCUUUCAAUCUGAAAAGGUAAAACACAUUUGAAAAAAAAAGCAAAAGUUUGAAACUACUUUCUUUUAGAUAAUUGCAUUACAUUUUAAAGCUUAGACAUGAUAGUUGUCACUAUUUAUGUUUUAGUUUUUAGUUUUUAAUAAAUAAGUAUAUAAACCAUAUGACUCAGUACCUAAGAGUUUCUUGUUCAUGUAAUGUACGUUUUGAAAGUGUUUCAAAAAAUAAAAUCUUUGUUUAGGGAAGAUGAAAAUUGUUCAAAAUAUUCAGCAAAGCACAAUUUUGAAAAAUAAAAAGGUUAAAAGUUAGGAAUUUAAAUUGUUAUUAGUUAGGGUAAAUUUAAACUUUCCAUUCAUAUUAUUCUUGACAAGGUGUUUGGAGGGAUAGUUGGCGGGAAAGUCACGGCAGCAAGUCUGGUGGUGGUGGUUGCAGCGACAUUUAUAAAUCCAGUGUUCCAUCGACUGCCAAGCGAGACAACGGAGGGGGAGGACGACAGGGUUGAUAUGGCAAAACCCACCAUCAACGCUACCGAUGAGUCCCCCGUCACAGCGACUACAACAAGCUCGGCGACUCCAAUGACGGUUUGCGUAUACAAUGCUCCAUCGCCUCCGGAUCAUGCAAUGCCGUGGGUGCCGAGUUCUCGAUCAUCUUACUGAAAUCUCUAUUAGAAUAGAACAUAACAUACACAUAUUUGGUGAUAGUGAUUAUUGUCAACUAAGAACUGAUAUAUAACAAAAAUAUGUGAUGGUAUUUUUGUUGGGAGGCUUAAUUAAUUGGAUAUUUUUUUCUUGGUUAAUUGGUAGUGUUUAAUAUUGUGAGUUUUUUAUAUUUAUUAUUUGGCAGGGGAAAGAUAGAGAGAUGAUUGAUCUAAGAAAAAGUGGUGUAGGGCUUAGGGUUCUAUCCAGUGGUUAUUAACUUAUGAAUACAUGGCUUAUUCUUUUUGUUUACCUUUUUUGAAUGUCAAGAAAGAAAAAACCACUUUUUGAUCUUUUUUAAAUAAUUAUGAUUUUCACUUUAAUUAUUUACCCUUCUUUUCUAUUCGGUAAUAAUUUUGUUUUUCUGCUUCUUUUAUUAAACUUAUGCUUUCUUUUUUUAAAAAAAAAAAUUAAACAAAAAUAUUUUGUAGAUUUUAAAAUUUAAACUCUUCCAAUAAAGAGUUUUUUAAAAAAUAUAACAAACUACCAAUAUAUUUACAUAGAAUAAAAUAAACUUUUUUAAAAAAAGUUCAUAGACCUACAAUAAAAAAUGCUAAAAGUGUCCUUGAUUAAUUGACAUCAAAAGCGAAUAAGAUAUUUAGUAAGCGAUCGUUUAAAUUUGACUAUUUUUUGCUACAAUAUAGUUUAGAUUUGAUUCAAAUUUAAACUAUUCUUUUUCAAGAUUUUUUUUGUAUAUGAUCGUUUAGAUUGGACUACUGUUGUAUAGAAUCAUUUAAAUUUGGGAAAUCAAACCUAAAACGAUUGUUUAUAAAAAAAAUUGUACACGUAGUUUAAUUUUGGCUAGUUAAAUUUAAACGAUUUUUUUUCAAUAUUAUUUAUACAUAAGCAUUUAGAUUUCACUAUUUUUGUACACGAUCGUUUAGAUUUGCCUAUCCAAAUUUAAACGAUCAUGUACAAAAAUAGUCACAUCUAUACGAUCGUGUGUAUAAAGAAUAUUGAAAAAAAGUCAAAUCUAAACAAUUCUUUUUCAGGUUUGCUACGUUUAGAUUUGAUACACGAUCAAAACAAUUUUUCCAAAAGAGUCCUCGUGUACUAUUGUUUAAAUUUAGCUUCUUUUUUUUUGUACAUGAUUGUUUUUAUUUUUCAUAUUUUAGAAUUUAGUUAAUAAUUGAACGGAGUUUUAUGCUUAAAAUUAGAGGUAAAGUAUUCACACAAAGAAUAUUGAGAUAAAAUAUUCAUCAAAGUAUUUCCAAACUCUUUUAUAAUAGUUUGAAAUUUUUAAAAGAAAAAGAAAAGCCUAUAGAUUUAAUUUCUACCUCUAUUUAACCUCAAAACUUUGAAUUUGGUACCAUUUGAAAACAAAAAAGAAGUAGAAAAGCUAAAGGAUCCAUUUUAUUAUUUUAAAAUUACUUUAAUGAAAUAAAAAUAAAAUAUUUCAAAAUUUAAGAAAUAAUUAAUUUAUAAUUUGACCAAAUUUAUUUUAGGAGCAUGGGAAUAAAAAAAAUAAAUAGUAUUGGAUAUUGGAGUUCAAGUGUACUCUUGUCUAACUUCUUUGUACUACUCUUGACUAUGAGUCAAUCUAUUUUCUAUUCAAAUUAUUAUUUCGUAACAUCUAAAUAAAAUAAAAUCAUGAACUUGAAAAGACUGCUCAUAAUUAAUCUCUAUUCACGUGCCAAACAUGAUUUUCUCUUUUCUUUGUUCAUUUCAAACUUUAAUAUUUAUUUAUGUAUACAUUCAACUUUAUAAUAAAGCUAUUUUAAAAUGAGAAAAAUUGUCGAAAAUAACAAAAGUUAUUAAAUAUUUUUAGAAAAAUUUAUUUUGAAUGGUAUAAAAAAAUAAAAACUAUUUACAAAAUAUAACAAAAUAAAUUUAAAAAGACUGUUCUAUUUGAUAAAUAGUUUCAAUAUUUUGUUAUUUUUUAUAGAGUGUAAAUAGUUUGUUUGUUUAACUUUCUAUUUUAACUCUAACAUAACAUGUGUUACGUGUUAAGUUUAAUUUCUUUUAACACCUCUAAUCCUAUUAAAUUCUAGUUAGUCCAUUUUUUUUCUAAGUUAUUGAUUUUCUCUAAACAUGUUUUUAUUUCAUUCCUUUCUUUGACGAGUGAACAUUUGAGAUUCUACAACGAGUUAGCGACCAACACAAAUAAUUUAGUAUUAAGGUUUACUUAUAAAACAGUAAAAACUUAUGCGACAAAACAAUCAAGGAUAAUAUAGGUGUAUGCAACGUUUAAAAUUAUAAAAAAAAAUGAAGAAAUUAAACGUAGGAUUAUGGAAAAAAAUAAAAAUUGGAUGGACUCCCAAACCAAUGAUUAUAAGAAUUGAUAAUUGAAGAGUCAAACAUUCUUUUAUGAGUAAAAAAAACUAAAAAGGAGAUAAAAACCAAAAAGAGGAAAAGGGGGUCAUAAAAGAGGGGCAGAAGGGGUAGCUUUAGAAGAGUAAAAGAAGGGUAAAAAUUAGUGGUUAAAUUGAUGUUUGAUAUGAAGAGAUAUGUCACUAUCUUAUGUACAAAAGUAGAAAAUGGGGAAUUGAAGAACUCUUAGUUGGCAUACAACUAGCCUACUCCCCUACAAAUUUUACUUACCAUGUUUUCUUUCUAGAUCCUCAAUUUUUGUUUCUUUUCAUAUAUGUUUACAUAUAUAUAUAUAUUAUUUCCAUCACUAAUUCUUUAAAAUCAUCAAGCUAAGUGUCCACACAUGUAUAUGGUCUUACAAUAUUGUUCAAAGAAAAUUUAGAGUUAUUCAUUCACAAUCAUUAUAAAAACCAUCAAUGUUAUGAGUAAAUGUGACUUGGCCUAAAAUCAAUAUGAAUGAAUAAUAUUAAGUUCUAAACUACACUUGGCUCUAGUGCUCAGAUAAGUCAACAACUCAUUGUUUAUCUAAUUCAGAUUUUGUUCUAACUUGAGCAAUAUUAAGAAACAAAUGUAUUAUGAUAAACUUCAAGUCCAUUUUCUUUUUAUUGAAUCUAGUAGUUUGAAGAGGGGUUUAAUCAUUUUGAUUAGGGUUGGAUAAGCACAUUUCUCUUCUGUAUAAGAUUUUCAAUUUUCUUUUUCUUCAAAAGUUUUAAAAUCUCAACCAUAGUAUUAAACUUUCAUUCAUACAUCCAUAUAUCCAUGUAAAAGAAAUAUCAUAAACAACAAAAGAUAAACAUCAAAAUGAAAAUAAUAUAAAUACAAUAGGGAUGUUUAUUUAUUUAAAAAUAAAAAAAAUUAAUAGUUUUAAUAUUUUUUUAAUUUUAUGUUUUAAUGUUUUGUCUAGACGUAUCUAUCAUAAUUGACAUUUUAUCGAUACUUUUAUCAAAACUUUAAUAGAAUUAUGAUUAUGAUAUUUUUUUUCGAUAUUGUCAUAAAAUUAUUGUUUCGAUAUUUUAUCGAAAUGAAUAUUUUGGACAUUGUUGAAAGGAUGAUCAAUAGAUUUUAAUUAAAAUGAUUGAAAAGAUAAUAAUUUUCUAUUUUUUUUGUUUCGGGUAGGAUUGGUUCUUUACAACUCUAGAUCACAGGCACGAAAAGAACCAUCAUUUCAGUGUUCAAAAGAAACAAGAGGCAACAAUGAUGUGUUGUUUUGUUUUUGUUGGGUUGAAACACUUAAUCCUCUUUUUCAUAUUUACAUAUAAGUGUGUUUGUUAGUUAGAUGGAUUGGAUUGGAUUAAGUUGCCUUUUACCGAAACUAAGUUAUUUGGAUGGAAAAUUUCUUUAAUAUACAUAACCUUUGUUAUAGUCAUGAGUAAAAAUAACACAUUUUGUUAAAGUUAAUAGUAAGUUUGGUUUGAUUUUAAUCUGGUAUGAGUUACUUUUAGGUGAACUCUUAAAUCAAUCAAUCUAAACAAAAAAUGUUAUUUAUUUGAACCUAACCCAACCCAAACCGUAGGUUUUUGUUAGGAUUGAUCAACUUAGCCAAAAACUACUAGUGUUUCAAACUUAAUGAGGCGUUUCUCGAGAUUGUCUUGAAGUAAUAUUCAUUAUUUGAGAAUGUCUUGAAGUAAUAUUCAUUAUUUGAGAAUGAAUUCUCAAACUGAAAGAGAACCUAGGUUUUAACAAGUUGAGUGAAGUUUCUCGAGAAAUGUCUCAUUAAGAUAUAUAGUAAAUUCAUGUUGAGAGAGAGUCUCACACGUAGAGAGAACCAAAAUUUCAUUGAGAGAAAGUUUCACACUUGAAGAAGCCGAAGGGUAUGUUUGGGGCUAAAAGUGGAGUGGGCUAUAAGUAGUUUACUCCUUAUAUUUGGGGUAAUGUUUAGUUUUAGUUAGAGAUUAGGAUUAGGAUUUAAAAUAGCCUACAUGCUUUUACUACUUUUCAAUCCUAAUAAAUAUUGUUUCAAGGGUUACAAAGUUCAACGACCAACUUUUGGACACCCAACUCUCAUUCUCCCUCCGCCACCAGGCCUCCGCCGAGUAUGCCCGCCGAGUGCCGGGUUCCGUACCGAGAAGUGAAAUGGUAGGAUUCUUCUUCUAUGCUGCCAACCAAACCUUCAAUCGUCACCGAUCAACCUUGAAAAUAUCUUUAGAAUUUAGUUAUAAGAAACGAAAGAAACUGUAUUUACAAGUACCCUUUUUAAAAUAGAAAAUUUUAACACAUUUUUUAUGUUUUUAUUUUAAGUUCUUAUAAAUAGUGUUUCAAUAAAACUGAACUCAUUCCAAUUAGACUCUUGGAUUAAAUAUAAUAAUAUUUUUUAAAAUAUAUUUUCUCAUUUUCUAAUGGUUUUUUUUUAUAAAUUAUCGUUAUUAUUAGGUUAUUUCUUAAUAAUGAUCUAUUUUCUCUCUUUUUUUUUAAAGGAAAUUUCAACUAAGGAUCAUUUUAGGAAUAAUAAUUAAGCAUAUAACAACAUUUAAAAAAAUUGCAAAUAUAGCAAAACUAUCACUAAUAGACUUAUACCGCUGAUAGAGUUCGUAUAGUCUAUCAGUAAUAGACCAAAACUUUUACAACAUGGUCUAUCAGUGAUAGAUUUAUAUCAUUGAUAAAAUUGGACAAAUUUUGUUAUAUUUGUAAAUAUUUUAGAAUGUUGCUAUAUAUUUAAUUAUUUUGAACUUAAUUGCUAAAUUUGCAACUAUCCUUUUUUUUAGGGGAUAAUGCUAGUCUCUCUUUAUUUCUCUUUCUUUUUUCAAUUUAACUAGUUCGAAGACCUAGAAUGAUCUUUUAAACUCAAAAUUACAAUGCUAGAGAAAACUUAACGACCAAAUUACAAUGCUAGAGAAAACUUAACGACCAAGUAAAAAUUAAAAUUUAAAAAAUUUAUGAUUUUUUUAUUUCUCAAAUAUAAUUUAAUAAUUUUCUAAUAAUUUUAAUAAUAUAAAAUUUGAUAUAAAAAAAUUAUAAUUUUUCACUAACCGAAUACAAGAUUAAAAUACUAUUAGUUUAUUUCAAUUUGAAUUAGCAUAUUAUGAUAUUAAAAAAAGAGUUGUUUUAAAAAUAGAAAAAUUGACAAACUAUUUACACUCCAACAAAACUACUAAAAGAAAAAAUUCAUCACACUUGAUUUUUAUGAAGUAUAAAUAUUUUGUCAAUGUUCUAUUUUUGACAACUUUCCAAAGAAAUCCAUUGUUUUUUUCAAAUUACUUAAAGUGACAAAACUCAAUAAAAUUUUAUUUCAAAAUCUAGGAAAAUCUAAGUAUCAUAUGUAUAGAUAAUAUUAAAUUUAUUAAAGAACAACAUAAUUAACAAGAUUUAAUAAAGGGACAUUUGCACGUGUGGCAAAAUAUAAAAUGAAAAUUAAGUUCAUGACGUAAGAUUUUAAAUUUGAAAGAUUUACCUAAAUCUACUAGGAAUUUUUACGAAUGUACUAAAUUAUGAUUUAUUUCCUUGAUUAGAUUUUUGUAAAUUUGUAGGACAAUUAUAACCCUAUAAUAAUUAUUAAUUAUAUAUAAAUUUUAAAUUUAAAUCAAAAUGAUUUUCUUAUUUAAAUUAUACUAAAUUGAUUAGGUAAAUGAUAACUUCUUUUUUUUUUCCGCCUAGUAAUUGAUGUAUAAAUUUAAUAAUAAAAUUAAUUUGAAAUAUUUGAAAUCUUUUCUAAUAAGGAAACAAUUAAUGAUUAAACAUAACAUUAUACCAUUUUUGCAUCACCCAUUAAGAUUUUGAGAAAAAAAGUUUGGUGCUGACCCGGUUUCUUCAUAAAUCAAUUUAUGUCAUUUCUUCAAUCAAUUUUGUCGUUAUCAAUAACGUUCUUUACUUUGGUUCAAAAUUUUGUUCGAAAGUUUUCUUCUUCACCUCCGAAAUCUCAAUAAACCCUAGAAUGAUUCACAUUUGAAACGUUUGAUUGUCUAUUUAAUCGAGUAUCUAAAAUAUACCUAAUAUACCUAAUGUUUCAUAUAUUUUAAAUAUAUACAAUACUAACCUUGAACUUUCUACCGAAAAGUUUUGUAUUUGUCAGUUGUUGAAUGUCUUCUUCUUCACCUCCAAACUCUCUAAAAGUUUUCUGUAAAAACUGUAACCCACGUUGGAAGGAGUAAAUGACCGUUUUCAUAGAAGGAAAGCAUUAAAUGAUUUUCCAUUUCUUUCCAAAAUCGUAUCCCACAAUUUUUUUCUUUUAGAUAUUUGUUAUAAAUCAAUUAAAUAAUAUAAAUGUGUAUUAAAGUAAUUUGGGCUAUACAUUUGUGUAAUAUUGAGGUCCAUCGAGGACAUUUGUGAAAUGAGAUGCAAAUUUAGCAAUUAGAUUCAAAAUAAUUAAGUAUAUAAUAACAUUUUAAAUUUUCUGCAAAUGGAGCAAAAUUUGUCGAAUUCUAUCAAUGAUAUACGUUUAUCAUCGAUAGACCAUGUUGCAAAUAUUGACCUAUCACUGAUAGACCAUACGAAGUCUAUCAAUGAUAAUUUUGCUAUAUUUGCAAUUUUUUAAAAAUGUUGCUAUAUCCUUAAUUAUUAUUGCUAAAAUAGUCAUCAAUUGCAAUUUUUCUUGUGAAAUUUAUUAGAAAAUUAAGCUCUUCAUGUAACAUUAUAUAGCAAUUUAGGCUAUAUGAGUUAAAGACCCUUUAGAUUUUGCAAGAAUGACAAAUUAUCACUUCCAGACCAAUUGAAAUUUUUAGAUGACCAAAAUGUCCUCAUAGUUAAAAAUGUGUAACUGCAUUUGAUUAUCGUUUCAUUGCUAUCUGAUUGUCAUCUUAUUAUUACUAAUUAUCAAUAAUAUCGAUUACUAUUUGAUUGUUGUCUGAUUGCUAUCUAAUGUACAUUAUUAUCUCAUCGUUAAUGAUACUAAUUUACCAUCUCAUUAUUAUUUAAUUUAAUAUGAUAUCAUUUACUAUUUAGUGACAUUUUUUUAUAUAUAUAAUUACUAAGUAGUUUAUUGAAUAAUCAUUUCACUAUCUUCCAUUUUUUUGUCAAUUAUUUAGUAGUUUAUGAUUACCUUUCAUUUUUUUUUGUCAAUUUGCUAAGGAUUUUUCUAUUACAUUAUGAUUGUCACAUGAUUACCUUACUUUUUUGUUGUUAAUUUCUAUGCAGUUUCUGAUUAUUCUUCAUUUUUGUAAUCUACAUAACAUUGUUUUGAUCAUCUCAUUACCACUAUGAAAAAUGACUAUUAGAAGCUUAACCACAACGAAAAAAUACUGAGAUAGUAUCACUUGAUUACCUUCUAAUUGUCAUUUGAUUACUUUUUUUUUCUUUCAAUUUUAGUUAGCUUUCAAAAAUAGACAUUUGAUUACCAUCUGAUUGUUACAUUCUACUUUUUAUUUAUUUUUUCAUUUUAGUUAGCCUUUUAAAUAAUAAUUUAAUUUGAUUUCCAUUUGAUUGUCAUCUAAUUACCUUAUGACUGUCACCUAAUUAUCUUAUAAUUGUCAUCUAAUUACCUUCUGAUUAUUACGAAAUUUUCAAGUCCAACAUAAAGUGGAUUAAAGCUUCAUUGAGGUGUAAUAUUGGAUUAAUUGGUUUGGAUUGAUAUUGUUCCUUGAAGGUGCCAAUUGAGGAUACUGCUUGAAUUCCUUAAGUUUUAAACGAGGUUGGUUGGAGUUUGAUUCUUCACUAUUUAGGUAAGUUGUAGAAUUUACAUUUGGGGUGAAUUGAAUGGAUGAAAUUAAUUGUGGAAGUGUUUGAUUUAUCUAUGUAAUUAUGUCUAGGUUGGCCAAUUGGAUUUUACUUUGACCCAGGAACUUAGGUAAAGUUAAGGUAAGAGAUUUCUACUACUGGACUCUAUACUUAUUUAUUUUAGUAGUAAUGACAUCGGUUUAGUAUAAAGAGUUGGAUUAUUACAUUGACUUUUUAUUAGCUAAAAAUGUAUUAAGAAAUGAACAAUAGCCUUUCAAAUAGAUUUCCUUCACAUAUGUUGAUGUUAUGUAACGCCCUAAGUUUAGGAGGGAGAGAUGAAUGAAUCUGUAUUAUAUUUAAAUGAGAGGGAUUCCGAGUACAUGAAAUUGGGAUAUGAAAGUAAUGUUCAGAAAGACUUAAAAUAAUUAAAAGUUAAUAUCUAUACCAACAAGUAUCAAUAAUUAAAAGUUAAUAAUUAAAAGACUUGAAAUGACUCAGGUUGGUUUUUAGGGUUUUUUAGGGAUAACUUUCACUCUAAUAAGCCUUUAGGACAAAAAAGAAUAAUGUUGCUAGGUCGUAGGGGAUGCAGGAAAAUCUAGAAAUUAUGAAAAUACUUUACAGGCUUCAUGGGUUUUUUCUUUUUGUUACUCGAACCGUAAAUAUUUUUGGGUUUUGUUACAUUUAUGUAAAUUAACCAUAUCUAAUUGAGUAAUUAAUUAGUUGGAGAAUUAUUUAAUAGUUUAGUUUAAUUUAAUUUAAUUUGAUGUAAUUAAAUUAAUUAAAUUAAAACUAGGGAAUUUUUCAAAAACAGAACAAAGCACGAAAGUAUUUACAAUGUAUAGAACAAUUUUAAAAAAGGAUAAAGCCCACUAGCCCACAAUGUGAAUUAAAAUACAUCCCGAUUAAUCAGUCACACAUGCGUGAAAAAAUGAUUUUUUACCCAGUCUAAAUGAUCUCUUAGCAAUGAUCUCGUAGAAAAUCUAAACAAUCUCGUAGCAAGUCUAAAUGAUCUUGUACCCUUGUACCAAGUCUAAACCAUCUUGUACGCUUGUAUCAAGUCUAAACCAUCUUGUACCAUUCUACCUAGUCUAAACGAUCUCAAAACAAGUCUAAACGAACUCGUAGCAAGUAUAAACAAUCUUGUACCCUUCUACCUAGCCUAAACGAUCUUGUACCAAAUCAAAAUGGUCUUGUACUAAAUCAAAACGAUUUAUUAAUAUAGUGGUCUAUCUUUGUCUACCUGGGAUAGACAACUGAUCGUUUAGAUAUUAGUAUACGAUCGUUUAGAUCUUGUACCAAGAAGGAAAAAAGAGAGAGAGAUGUAGAAGAAGAAAGAAAUUCUGGAAGAGAAAAUGAAGAAAUUGGUAAAUAUUUACAAAAAUAACUAUAAUAUUGUAAAAUGAAGAAGAAGUAAUAAUAUGAAGAGAAGAUGAAUAGAUCGCAAAGAAGAAGAAGAAAAAAAGUGAAAAAUGGUCAACAUUAUUCAAACGCAAACCUAAAAUUUAUGAACAUAUCUUGGGCUUUUUUAUUUUGUUACACGGUCCGUAAAUAUUUUGGUGUUUUGUUGUAUUUAUAAAAAUUAACCUUAAAAUGAUAGGUUUUGUAACAUAUAUUAAUUUAAAUAUGUUUUAAAUGAAAUAUUAAUAAAUAUGAUUUAAUUAAUUAGAUGAGUUAUUUAAUUAACUAAUUUAACAUUGUUUGAUUUAGUUUAGUUGGACUAUUUUAAAUUAAAAUAACUAAAUAACCUCCUUACACGAUAGUUAUUUAGGGGAACAUGUGGUGAUCCUACCUAUCCCUUCUUUCUCUUUAUUUAUAUGCAUAUUCAACCUACACAAGAGGAGAGGCUGCAUAACCUAAUUUUCAUACAAUAAAGAAAACAAAUCCUUCAAAUUUCUUUUUUCUCUUAAAAAGGAUUUUUUUCCUCCAAAUUUAAGCCUCAAUUACUCAAAAGAUAGGGAGGUAGCCAAGUCGUGGUGUACGAAGAUUGAUGACACUUCUAAAUUGGCGACUUAUAGAUUCAUAGGCAUCCACAAAAGUGAGUUUCGUCUAUAUUUACCAUCUAAAAUUUAUUUUUGUUAAAAGCAUGUCUAAUACUAUAGGUUCUCUUUAUCUUUUCAAUGUAGGAGUAUUUCCAACUUUUUCCAACUAAAUUGAGUUUUGUUACCGCGAUCUUCUACUGCAUUAGGACUUUCAUCCAAUUCAUAACUACACAGUUUGGUCAAAAUACCGUUUUACCCCAAAAUUACAUCUUGUUUCUUAAUUUUCAACUAAUCAUGUAAUGAAUAAUUGGUUUAUAUUUCAACCAAUAAACGGAAUCCUUCUCGGCUCAAUGAGAGAGUGUGGGACCCUAUAUUCAAAACUUGGAGUAAGCAGUUAAAGAAACAGUCUCUCUAAUAUCUCUAGAAGUUGGUAUAAGUGAAUUUCGUUUUGCACCCUAUGUUUUCAACUAUGUACUUGAUCUUAUCCUUGAAAUAGAAAGCUUGUUGAACCUGCGAUGUUGAACUGCUCUCACAUAUGUAGAUCUAAGGAUAAUUUUGAAUAAAUAGGAGUUCAUAGUUAGUUUAAGAUUAAAAUCUAGUUACUUGUUAUUAUAUUUGAAAUAGUAAGUUUUAAAUAGUAAAUAAGGUUACAAAGUAAAAGCGACUUAUUUAAUAUGAUUCAGUUUUAUAAUCUCUUUGCAUAGGACGUCCUUACUGACAUGUCCCUACAAAGUGGGUUGAUACAAACCAAUGUAUGGGCACAAAUAAAACCUUGGAAAUAAAUUUUAAGUAUGGGAAAAUAAUAAAACUUAAAAGGGAAAAGUACAAUAUUCUUGGCUAAAAUAUAUCUGCACAAAUAAAACCUUGGAAAUAAACUUUAUGUUUGGGAUUUUUUUUCUUUUGUUAGUUUGUGAGGUUUGGUCAUGGUAAAGUUGCAAAGAAAGUAUUAUGGUAUCGACACAAACGAAAUAUAUUAUACUUUCUUACGUGAGAUUAGAUCAUUUGAUAAAGAAAGUCAUUGUUGUACCAUUAUUGAGGUUUGGUCAUGUUAGAUGAAGAAUUAUUGAUGUAUAGAAGAGAGUAUGUCAAUGUAAUGAAGUCUGACCUUCAUGGUCCUUUAGAAGUAGUUUUUUUUUUAUUUGACAUUGAUAUAACUAUAUGAUAUAAAGAAGUUUAUUUUCUACUUGAAUAAAGGGUAAUUAUAAUUGAUAGUCAUUUUAGGAAUAAUAAUUAAGAAUAUAACAACAUUUAAAAGAAAUUGCAAAUAUAGCAAAAUCUAUCGCUAAUAGACUCGUAUGGUCUAUCAGUGAUAGACCAAUAUUUGCAACAUAGUCUAUCAGUGAUAAACUUCUAUUAUUCAUAGAAUUUGACAAAUUUUGCUGUAUUUGUAAAUUUUUUAAAAUGUUGCUAUAUACUUAAUUGUUUUGAAUUUAAUUGUUAAAUUUGCAACUAUCCCUUGAAUAAAUGUUAUAUGAACGUACAUAAUCGUAUGAUAUAAAGAAAUUUAAUUUCUAUUUGAAAAAUGUUAGAAACAUACGUAACAAAUAAUAUCAAAUGAACUAAUGGAAAGAAUGUUUAUUUAAUUUAAAUUUAAUAUUAAAUGUAAAUUCGAGUAAUUUCUACUUAAUUUCUAUUUUCAUCUUUAAUUGUUAAUAUGCCAAUUAGUUAAUUUGAAAGAAGUAUAUUAUUAAGUUUCACUUUUUUUUCAACCACGAUGAAUUGACCUAGUGGUGAAUACUUGGGAUGUGUUUACUUACCAUCAAAAUGUCGUAAAAUUAGGUGAAUUAUCUUCGUGAAAUUAGUUUGUGUGCGCAUAAACUAACGAGAACAUUCAUAAAUAUAAAAGAAUAAGUUUUACUACUUUCUAUUACUAUUAAAAUUUGAACUAAAAUUUCACUUAGUAAUAAUUUUAAAUUAAUUAAUAAACAACAACUUAAACUUAGUAUAUAAUGAAAAAUAAAGAUUUCAAGUGUAAAUCUUGAAAUCAAGAAAGUAAAACACAACUCAAAGGCCACAUUUCUAAACUGUAAUGAAAGUUGGUGUAAUUGUAAUAGAUCAAUUUUAUUGAUAGAUUAAUUGUAACGAACUAGAAUAAAAAAAUAUAGUUUGAUUAUUUUUAAUUUUAUUUACUUAAAAUCAUGAAAAUUUAUUGUUAUGGUCUACUUUUACCUCUACCUCUAAGGGUCAAGCAGUAAUGACAACAAUAAUAGUAGCAGUAAAAACGUCAUAUCUACAGUAACUGUUAUCUUACAUCUACGUCUAAGGGCCAAGCGAUAACAAUAACGAUAAAGGUAGUAGUAAAAUGUAAAAUUGAUAGUUUUCAGUUAAAACAAUAACAAUAAUGACAACAGUAAUAGUAACCAUAAUGGUAACAAUGAUGAUAAAAUUUAAUUUUCAUCAACACUUUAAUAUUUAAAUAAAUAUAUAUAUGGGAUCUUUUUAAAAAUAUAACAAAGUAGCAAAAUAUUUACACACUGUAGAAUAAUUUAAAAAACGAAAAAAACUCAUACGCCCACAAUAGAAAAUACAAAAAAUGCCCCGUGAUUAAUUGACAUCCAGCGCACGUAAUAUAUUUGAAAAACAAUCAUUUAGAUUUGACUAGCGAUCGUUUAGAUUUGGCUCUAAACCUAAAUGAUUUUUUUUAGAUUUUGUUGGUAAACGAUUGUUUAGAUUUGAUCAUUUAAAUUUGGAUAGUCAAAUCUCAAUGAUGUUUUUCAUAAUUUUUUGCAACAUCAUCAUUUAUAUUUAAUUGUUUAAAUUUGGGUAGCCAAAUCUCAACGAUUUUCUUCUAGAUUUUUUGGUACACGAUCGUUUAUAUUUGAAAAACGAUCAUUUAGAUCAUUUAGAUAUGAUCAUUUAAAUUUGGAUAGUCAAAUCUCAACAAUUUUUUUCAAGAUUUUUUUUAGCACGAUCUUUUAUAUUUGGAACAAAAUCAUGUAGAUUUGAUCUUUCAAAAUUUAAACGAUCUUUUAAAGAUUCUUUGUACACAAUGAUUUAUAUUUAUCUAUCCAAUAUCUCAACGAUUUUUUUCACGAUCUUUUAUAUUUGGAACAACCAAAUAGCAUUUUGAAAAAAAAACAUUUAAAAAAAAUAGAUCAUUUAUAUUUGGUACACGAUUUUAAACCAAAUAACAGUUUUAAAAAAAAAUAAAAGAAAAACUGAAGAAGAGAAAAACAUGACAAAAAGAAAAAAAAAAUCGUAGAAUAGGAAGAGAAUAAAGACUAUGAAAAUAAAUGACAAAUGUGAAAUAUUUAAAAAUAAAUGACCAAUUUGAUAAGUUUUUCCAUUUUGUUACACGAAUGAAAAGUAUUUUGGGGAUUUGUAUUAUUGAUGAAAAUGAAGGUAUAUAUAUAUUAAUUGUCUAUAAUAACUAUAAUAAUAAAGAAAGGUAUGAUGAGAAAGAAAAGGAAAGGAAAAUGAAUGAGUUUGCAUGAGAAGAAUAAUAAAAGAAAGUAAGAGAGAGAGUGAGAAAGGGUUUAGGCAUGAAAUUGCAUGCGGAUGGAUAUAAACUUUUGGAUCUUUGGUGAAGAGUAGCCUACGAGGGUUCCUGCAAACCCUGACCCAGGUCGCAUGCUACACCUCUGACCUACUUAUCCUCCAUUACAGUACACUUGUCAAAACCACAUUGGACAUAACUCUACACUAGUAGGCCCCACACCGUGACCUUCUAAACCUAUAUCUCUUGUUUUCUUUUUUUUAAGUUCAAUUGGUCAAAAGCUUUCUGCCCAACUUUUGCCUGCAAAAUUUCCCUAUUUCCUCUCACACAGUACACAAUUCAGUCCUCUCUCUCUCACCCUUUUUCCCAACCAAAAUUUCCCUAUUUCCUUUCACAUUACACAAUUUAGUCUUCUCUUUCUGCCCUUUUUCCAAUUCAAACAAAAAACCUCUUCCUCUUCUCUUCUUCACCCUUCUCUUCUCCCACCCACUAUCUUCCCUUCUAUGGGAACAAUUAAGGGCUGCAACCAUCCCUUUUGUUUUUGGAAAUUGAACCAUUUUCAACUGCCCAUCUUUUUUCAUUUUCUCUUUUCAAUUUUAUUCGUAUUUCGCAGUUGUGUUUCUCUCAAAAUGUAAUCCACCGAGGAGCUUUCGGUGUAUAAAGUUAGUUGUUAUUAUAGUCUGUGAGUUAUAAUCAACUAUGUGCUGUUAUAGUUUUUGUUUAAGGUGCAUACUAUUAUAAUCUAGUUUAUAAUUAUUUGUGUUUGCGGUGAUGAUUAUUUUAGUCUGUGUUAUAAUAGUCAAUGGUACCAAGGAAAGAGUGAUCAAUUUGAUUACAUAUGAAUGUUACAUUAGAGGUUGGAUGCUUAGUUAGCCUUAUUAGGUAAAUAAUUGACAUUUAGCUAGGUUUAGGGUUUAGGGUUUCUCAACGUUUUUCAAAUGUCAUAAACAAGUAUAUUCUUGACGUUUUUUUUUUCAAUUGUCAUAAACAAGUACAUUCUUGACGUUUUUUAAAUGUUGUUAACAUCGACAUACUUCACCGUUUUUACAUGUUGUGAACAUUUGUAUACUUGAUGUUUAUAAAAUGUCAAAGUUUAUUAUUUUUUACAUUUAUUAACUAUCAUAAACUUCGACUUUCUUGAAGUGGGCUUCAAUAACAAUUUUAAAACCAUCAAGAGUAAUAAUUAUUGAUUUGUUAAAAAACAUCAAGAGAGUGUUUUUGUAGCGAUGUUUCUCAAUUUUUUUCUGUGUUCCACCAAAACAAACAAAUACAGAAGGCAUCCUAUACAAAUAUGUAAAGAAAAUAUAAAAUUACAACCAAAAUCUCUAGGUGAAAUCAUAUUAGAACUCGAUCAAGAUUUGAAACCCUAUACUAAUCUCGAGGCAAAUAUAAAACAACUUGACUAAUAUCUUUAAAUAAGAACCGAGAUAACAUAUGAAAAAAAAAAUACCUAAAAGAAACAAUUGCUAUCCUAAUCAGUAUGCAAAUGACAAUCAAAACGUAAUUCGUAAAUAUUCACCUUAUUUUUCUUGAUGACUUCGAAAGAUAUUAAAUGUGGGAGGAAGGAAAUGAGAGAAAACCCAAAACACUGUAAAAAGUUUAUCGGGAGAUGGUGGUGAAACUUAUUGAGCAAAACAUUUCAUUUUUUAAUAUAAUAAUAAUAAUUUUAGUAACGUGGACAUUUUCAUCACAAUCGAAAGAUUAAUCUCGGGACCUAUGUUACUCCAUUCACAAAAACUCAGGGCUCACGAAAGUACAUUGUAUCUCGGGGUGAUUCUAGCUGAGAUUUCUUGAGAAAAAAAAAUGUAAAUUUUUUUAAAGUUUACAAAUUUAAACUGUGUCGUUUUCGUCAUUUUUGUGAAGAAAAUGAAAGAGUUCAAUAAAAAGAUUAGUUAUGAACGGAUACGUGACAGAAAUUCCGAAAGCGAUCUCUCAUGGAAUUGAAGCAAUGCGUGGGAACUCCAGGGUGAGGGCGAUGAUGGAUUAUUUGUGUGUUUGGGCAGGGUGUGAUUUCCCACAGAAAGAGAGCAGGGUGGCGCGAAUGACUAAGCCAUGGUCUAAACAAGUGGUCGGCACGAGGCGUGAGCAAGGCGGUAGGCGUCAACGGUGAGGUUUUGAAUUUUGAUUGAGGGAGGGUGUGCUGAAGUUUAUUUCAGGAUGAAACCAUAAAUUUAUGAAUACUUUUACAAGUGAAAUUUUAAUUGAAAAAAAAGAAGGUAAAUAAUUUGGAAAACUAUAAAUUAGUCUAAUAACAUAACACAUCUUCUGAUGGCAACACAUAUGGUGACAAUUCCAAUCUAAAAUACGUAAAAUAAAAACUCUGUCUUCCCCUUCUUCUUGAUAUUGUAUAUCUCUAUUUUUAAUUAAUCUAAUUUUAGGGUUUAGAAUAAGAAAGGGCAGUAAGCAAAUCCACCUUAACCUUUAACAAUCUACUCAACAAUUCCUUAACUUAACUCACACUUAAUUGUGUCUAAACAACAUUUAUGACUAUUAUUCAAACUUUAGGGACUCAAAAUCAACAUUAUCAAUUUGAUUUCACCCAAAUAGACACUUACUUGAACCAUCAUACACCAAAAAAUUAUUUUGUUUCAGAUUCUCUUACUGUAAUCUCAAGCUGGAUUUAAAAUCAUAAAUUUAUUAAUGGAUAAUAAUCGAGGGUUUUUUGUUUUUUGUUUUUAUGUUUUUUAAAUGGAACAUUUUUUAAAAUAGUAAAAUAAAUUUAAAUAUUUAUAAGUUAUAGCAAAAUUUUGAAUUUUAUCAAUGAUUGACACUCAUAAAAGAAACUGAACUGUCUAUUAAUAUCUAUUAUUGAUAGAAUCUGAAAAUUUUAAUAUUUUGUCAAAUUGGUUAUUUUUGACCCUUCUCUUUUUUAAAUUCUAUUUUUAAAAAAUAUUACUUAAGAAAACAUAUAGGGUUGGUAAGUCAUUUAAAAAUAAAAGCCUUCUAUCUUUGUUCCUAAUUUUAAAAAAAAAAUGUAAAAGGAUUGUUUGAAAACUUAUUUUUCUUUAUUUUUUGUCUUAAAUAAUUAAUUAUUGAACAAAUGUAUCUCAUAACUAAUUGGCUUUUUGGUUUUUUUUUUUUAAAAAAACUUGUUUUUAUAAUUAGAAAGAAAAAUUGAAAAUGAAAUAAAAAAAACUUUCAAAAUAGUUACAUUUUAUUUUUUAAAAAACAGAAAACAAAACCAAGUACCAAACAUGUAUAGUUUUUGUUUUUAAUAAAAAAAUAUUAAAAACAGAAAAAAGAAACACAACAAAACAAAAAUUGAAAUGAUUAUCAAACGGGGUUUUUAUGUAAUGCCCCUAAACCCAAGAUUCAAACCAUGAUUUGAAAUUCGGAUACCCGACAUUCCUCUAUAUCCCCUAUGACAUGGAAGUUUCAUUCUUAUUGUUUUAUAGACUUAUUAGAGCGAAGUUGUCCCCACAAACCAAUACAAAUCCUUUCAGUAUGCUUUACCCUCACUCACAUGCAUCCUAAGAAUUUUCAGGAGAUCACCCAACAUAAAAUUGCUCUAAGCUAAACACACUUAACUAUGAAGUUCUUGUGAUCAAGCCACACCAAAAAGGAAAGUGAACCUUAUUGAAAUAGAUAGUAACUUUUAAUUCUUUUAAGUCUUUCUUAACAUUACUUUCAUAUUCUCAUUUCAUGUUCUCAGAAUCUCUCUCAUUCAGAUGUGAUAUCGAUUCAUUCACGUCUCUCUCCUAAACUUAUGGAAUUACACUUAAAUUAUAAGUUUGCUUUCAAUUUAGUUUGUAGAUUUUAAAAUGUUACAAGGUUAGUGUGGGAAUUUUAGUUUUCUUUCAAUUUGAUCAAAAUGUAUUAAGAUUUCCACUUUUAACAUUGACUUACUAAAAUUAAUAUUCACUUUAGUUUUUGGUAGCUACAGCAGGUAGCAAUUUUAAGAAUGAUAACUAAGUGUACAACAACAUUUAAAAAAAAAUUCAACAAUAGCAAAGUCUAUCAACGAUAUACUUAUAUCGUUGAUAAACUUUUAUGGUUUAUUAAUAAUAGACUAAUAUUGGCAAUAUAGUCUAUCAGUGAUAGACUACUAUCAUAGAUAAACUAAGACAAACUUUGUUAUAUUUAUAAUUCUUUUAUAAAUAUUUAUAUAUGUGCAAAUACUUUAAAUCUAAUUAUUAUAAUUUCAGUAUAAUUGUCCAUUGAGUUUUUUACAAUAAUAUUUAUUAAUGAAAACCGUAGUUCAUAAGUAAUCAAAUACUAAAUUUGAGCAUUUAGCAUAAAAACAUGAAUGUUAAAAGUAUAAAUCCUAAAAUCUAGGUUGAAACAAAAUUCAAAUCUAGAGGUUAAAGUUGUAACAUUCUGAAAUCUAAAAAUUAAAUUGAAGUUAAACUCGAUGAGUAAGAACUAAACAUAUAAUAUUUUAAAAUUUAAACCCGAGAUAUAAACUAAGAUCUAAAAUUGAAAAAGAAAAAGAGUUAUUUUCCUUGCUUUGAAGAAGGAAAUUGUUGUAGAAGCCACUUUUCAAUUUAUAAGAUUUUCUUGGAGCAAUGAGCAAUAGUAGUGGGCUACUCUUACUAUGGUGCUUGGGCUUUCAAUAACAAACCUCAUUACCCAAACAAAGAUCUUGUUGGGCUUCUCCUGGCUCGCUCCCGUGAUCUACAUUUUCAUAUAUAAACCAAAUUUAAUCAUUUUCGAUUUUGUUCUCACACUCACCCACCAAACUCUUUUCUAAAAUACAGUGAUUUAGUGAUUCAAGAAACUAUUCUAAAAAAUGGGGUUGGAUCAAAACUAACGAUAAAAAGAGAUAAUUGUGAGAAUGACAAAAAAAUUGGAUAACGAACUAAAAGAUAGCAAAUUUAAAAAAUAUUAAGAUUUAUAGUAAAAUUGGGGUUGUAGACUUCUUUUUUUUUCUUAACCAAUUAUACUCAUUUGUAUACAAAAUUUCUUUUCCUUAAAAUAAAGUAUAUUUGUAUAGGUAAAAACUGAUACAGGAUAUCAAAGAUUAACAGAUACAGUGAAUUUACAAAAAUCAUCAAUUUUUUGGAAAAUAUUAAAUAAUUUUUUAUUUUGGAAGCCAAUGUUAAGAACGAAGGUGAUUUUGACAUACUACAGUGGUGGAACAGUGAUCGACUUGAGGUUCUUAGUCAUAUGGCUAAGGAUAUUUUGGCUAUUUCAUUUUCUACUAUAGCGUAUGAGUCGACUUUUAGUGCCAAAGGACGUUUUGUUGAUUCAUCACAUUGCUCAUCGCUCCUAAAACAGUGGACGCUCUCAUAUGUACUCAAAAUUGGCUAAAUUUUGAUCCAACAGAUUUUUAAGUUCAACAUGAAUUGGAAGAGGCUUCAACAUUUGAAGAAGGUAUUAUGCAAAUUUUUUAAUGAUGUGUAUUUUAUAAUUGUAAUGUGUAAUUUUACCGAAUUUCAUGAAGUUGUUUUUCUCCGCUUAUUCUUGAUUUUAAUUAUAUAGGAUUCUAGGCUUUUUCUUAUUACUUGUCAUCUAACAAUUUUUUUUUUUAAAAAAAUGAACAAAGCCGGUGAUCCAAACUUCCACUCUAUCAACAACAUUUGAGACAAAAGGUAUUAAUCUUUCUUUUCUUUUUUUGAUGAUAAUUUUAAAUUCACAUAUUUGCAUUACAAAAAAUCACGUGAAAAUUGCCGGUAUUUCUUUAUUACUACAAAUGUAGUAAAUGUUAUCAGUGCAUCAGUGAAACGUCGUGAUAUUUUUCAGUGUGUUUAUUAUAUAGUGUCAUGUGUCCUAUAUAAAAUUUUUGAAUCCACCACUGCUUGCACUAUCCAGUAUCAUCUCCCUUUAAAUGCACGAAGUUGGUCAGGGAUGGAGAAUUUCUCUGUCUCUAUCCUUUUUGCAAAUCCUACUUCUCCUUUUAAUAUACUACAUGACAAUUUGGAGUAGAUAACCAAAGUACUAUAUGUGAUUUUUUUAAAAAAGAACAAAUAUUAUGAAAAUGUUUAAUAAAAUUUAUAUAAAAAAAAGUCAUUUGGUUGUUAAUUCUUUGAUGGAUGAAUAUUACCAAGAAUAACAGGUUAUUUUAUAAUAAAAAAGUUGUUAAAACAUACCAAAAAAAAUUAGAAAAAAAGGAGAUGAUAACAAUUUUUUUUUACAUAUCACAAAUAACACAAAUAUGACAAGUAAUUAGAUAUAUGAAACAACUAUCAGACAGCUAUCAACUCUUAAAUUUACUACUUUUGCAAUUUAUAAAAUGUAGUGACAUAGACCAUAUUAUCAUAAAUGUUUUUGUUAUUUUUGCAAACACCCUUAUAUUUAUUGUUUAAUAUAAUUUAUUUGAUGGCAUGUUUUAAUUAAAAGUUUGCCAAUAACUUUUUUAUGAGAUAUUUUUUAAAAUAGCAAAAUAAAUUAAAAUGUUUACAUACUAUUGCAAAAUUCUGAAUUCUAUCAAUGGUAGUCACUGAUAGACUCCUAUCACAAGUGACUAUCAAUGUCUAUUAUUGAUAUAAUUGGAAAAUUUUACUAUAUGUUGUAAAUAUUUCGUCACGUUUGUUAUUUUUGACAAUUUUUCUUUUUUAUUAUUAAUUUUUCUUUUUUAUUAUUAAUUUUUCUAGUAAUGACACGUUUUUCAUUUUUAAGAAAAAUUGCAAAAACCACGCUUAAAAUACAAAUAACAGUUUAAAUUACACCUUUAAAACUUUCAAUUAUAAAAGAUGGACCUCUAAAUUUUUACCAGUCUCCAAAUUAAACCUUCGAAAUUUCACUAAUUACAAAAUAUGGAUCCAUAAAUAAUAAAAUUGAACUCAUAAACUUGUACCAUUACUACAAUUUAUAUCAGCACCCAUAAGUUUGAAGGUCCAAUUUGAUCCAAUUUUUUAAUAUUCAUAUAAGUGGAAGAGCUCCAUUUUAAUUUAAAAGUAUAAUUGCAAAAACAUGUUAUACUCUUUCUUAAUUUAAACGUUUUUCUUUCUAAUUAAUUGAAAACUAAAACCACUCAUUUUCUCUUCAUAUAUUAUUUCAAAAUGAAGGUAUUUAAGCUAUUUUCUUUUUAAAAUUGUAAAUAUUCAUGCAAUUAACUGAUUGCUUCCUCUACAUUCCAAUGCUUUGUGGAAAAGGAUUAAAAUUUGUCAAUCACAUUUGUCUCAUUGUUCUCACUCAAAUUGCUAAAUAAUGGAGAGAGAGAGACUUCAAGAUCUGAUCCAAAAACUUCAAUCCUUUUUUGCACUAAAAAAUAAGAUUGCUUGGAAUCUCAACCUGAUAAAUAAAUUAAUUACACUAAAGAAGGAAAAAAAAAUGCUAAACUUCUAUUAGAAUUAACAUCCAACUUGUUAAAAUUUAGAGUUAAACUCUGGAAGAGUUGAAGAAUAAGGUGACAAAUUAAUACAUUCGAAUCUUCAACCUUUCUACAUAUUGUAGUACUAAAAACCAAUAUUAAAAUAUUAUUAUUCGUAUAGGAUAUAUAUUACUAUUAGAAAAGUGUAUCUUUUUUGUUCUCAUUUUUAUUUAACUUUUUUAAUUCAGCCCCAGUAAAAGUAAAAUAUUAAAACUUUUAAAAUAAGUAGAUUGAAUUGUGUAUAAAUAUAAUAACUAGUUAAUACAGCUAAUUGAGUUUAAGAACGAGAUCUAAAUUUUCAUACAUAUAAAGAAAAAGUAAUUAAUUACUAUAUAUUUACAAUUGUUAAUUGAGAAGAGUAAGUAACGUUUUAUCUGCUAAACUAUGAUUAAAUUAGCGAUGAAAUUCCGAGAUGAAGAUCCACAUGAACAACCCUUCUUCCAUUUCAUCAAAUUUAUUUCUGGGUUUGAGAUAAAAGAGAGAAAGGAUCUCUCAUUGACCUAAAAGAAAAACAAAAACUAACAUUACAAAGACAUGAAAUCUAGAGAGAGAGAAUUAAAGUAAAAAAAGAAAAAAAAAAAGUUUCAAGACAGACGGAGAGUUGGGUGUUCAAGUAGACGGCGCCGUUUUUGGAAGCUGAGAGAAGUGACCGGCGCCGGAGCCUUCCUGACCUGCUGGAUUCUUUGACCGCUGAAGAACGGUGGCAGCGGCGGCUGCGGCAGCAGCAUUUGCAGUAGCUUGAGAUGGCUGAUGGGGUUGGCCGGAAACAGCACCGGCGACUCCGAUAGAGAAGUCCAAGAUCUGAGAGGGAUCCUCGGCGGAGAUGAAGUCCGGGGGGAGAACUUGAGAGAGCUGACGUUGGUGUCGCGGGCGGGGCAUAGUUAGAGAGAGAGAGAGAGAGAGAGGGAAUUUUAGAGGGAGAAAGUGAGAGAGCGAAUGAGAAUGGUUUGGAUUUUGACGAAUUUAAGAAGCAGCCACUCCAUACGAUCAAAUCCGUUCACGCGCGCGCGUCACUUCACUCUCCAUUUCCAAUUUUCUUUCUUUCUUUUUUGUUUCCAUUGUUUUUCAAAUAUCCAAUGAAAACAUGGUUGAAUAGAUGAGAUAUAAAAUUAAUUACUAUCUCAAAACUAAAUUCAUGUUCCCAUCUCUACUCCUAAUUAUUCAAAUUCAAAGAAUGUUUGUACAAUUUUUUUUUAUUAUUUUAUUGUUUACAUUUUAUUAACUUUUCUCUUUUCCAAUUUUUUUUUCUAAUUUUAAAUAAUUUAUUUGGAUUUUAAAAAUAUUGGGAGGUAGAUAAUUAUUUUUGAGAUCAUAAAAAGUAAAGAAAUUUGAGGUUUACCAAACAACUAUGAACAAGAAUAGAUUCAUUUUCAGGUUUAGGGUUUAGAUGAAGACUCACAUUAAAUUUUUACAUGUGAAUGAGAGGGGUUGUUUUUGUUUGACCAAACUGCAGUUUAGUUUUUUCUUUCUUUCUUUUCUUCUUUAUUUUUUAAGAACAAAACUGCAUGUUAGUUGACUCCAUGAAGGUCUUCUGGUAAAUUAAAAAUAGGAAAAAAGUGUAUGGAGUUUACAAGUGGCUUAUAUUAGGACUAUUAAUUUGUUGGUUAUUGAAAAUCAUUGGUGUUUUAGGUGUUUAAGGGUAUUCAUGUUUUCAAAUCCAUACUAAAUCGAUUGUCAAACAAAUAGAAUUAAUCUGUUUGAUUCAAUUUUAUACAAUACUGAAACCAAAUUAUGGGGUUUAGUUGCACGUUACUUUUCAAAACUUAAAUGAAAUUGAACCAAACCAAAUUAAUUAAAGAGAGUGUUAUGAGACAAACAAACUAAAUAAUACUUGGUAAUCCUUCAUUAUAUGUGUUUCUCAAUAUUACAAUGUGUUAUUGAGGUUGGUUGGCUUAUUUUAUUAUAGAUCUAUUAAUAAAUAUAUGGAUUAAAUAGGUUUGAAGAUUUGAUUGAUGUGCGUUUAUUAAUAAUCAUAUGACUAAUAUUUAUUAAUAAAGACAUUCGGUUGGUUGGGAUUGUUUUCAUAUAUUCAAGUUGGUUAUUAAUAAAUGUUAACCAUGUUUAUUAACAAAUUGAUGGAGUUGGAUGUUGUUUUGUUACGACGUUUUUUUACCUAAAAAAUAUUAGCUUGUAGGCAUGCGAUAGUGUUGUGGUUGAAGACAAAAGUGUGGCAAAUGUGCAACAAAGUUAUGUGUUGAAAGAAAAAGGAUUCUCUCGAAAAACAUUUGCAGUGAUAUAUUUAGAUUUGUGGAAGUUUUAGUGUGCUCCUUCAAGAACCUAUGUGUUACAAUACUGCAUAUCGAAUAUAAGAGAUUAAGAAGCAAUUCAAGAUUGCUGAACGAAGACAUUGCAACUGGUCAUUGAUUAAGAGGGAGUGAUCCUAUUAAUGUUACGACAAUUGUUUUCACACAAUUCUUAGUUCUGAUGUUCGUGAGUCAGUCCAUGGUCAGCACAUUGAUUCAAGUUUAGAGUUCAACAUAUUGGUUCACGUGUAGAGUGUUGUACCCUAUGUCAUAACAUUGUAAUGGUCAAUUACUACACGAGCAAUAUAAUCCUCUUAUCAUGGGUCUAAGGUCCUCCAAAUUUAGAUGUUGUGUCAUUGAACUACGUUACCAAAGUUUGAUGUGUUCUCUAUGAUUUUAUGUGCUUCCGUAGUUGUUCUUUUCAGUUAUUAACUCCCGGUACAAUAAACAAUACAAGAAUAACUAUAAUGAGCGUUUUCUCACAAUACAAUCAGUUGAUUUCAGUUUCAUAAUUAAAUAAAGAUGUCUAUUGUAUUGUAGGAUAUAAUUCCAACUUAUCAGCCAUACAAGACCAUCGUGUUCGAGGGAGGUGAUUAGGAGGAGUAAACGAUGGGAUGAACUUUACCAUAUAAGAAAAGUUGUCAUAGUACAAACAAUUUUAAUCUCAAGUCAUUCGUUCUCAAGAGAAUAUCCUAAUCGAUUAGGACUUUACUAUCUUCGAAAAGGUGCCACACAUUACAAGCACUUUCAAGUUUACUCUAUGAAAAGGUGUCAUAGUACAAGUAAUUUCAAGUUCAAGUUUGUCCCCUUGGAGCUAUGACAUAAUCAGUUAGGACACAUCUUUCCAAGAAUGCAGUGAAGUUUCUCCCUGUUCUUUAUAAUUCUAGGAGUCAUUUGAACAUAGGUUGCAAAGUUUCUCAUCCAGCUAAACAUGUUUGCAGUAAUUUUUCUUCAAGUCAAAGUAAAUCAACUUGGAUAUUUGAAUAGCUCGAUUGUGGUUUAUGGGGUCCGUAUGAUUAACCAUCUUAUUGUGGUGCUCGUUAUUUUCUACUUUAGUGGAUUACUAUUCUCCAGUUGAAUGGGUUUAUUUGUAGAUUGAUCAAAAAUAAGUUUUUCAUAUGUUUAUGUCCUUUAUUGCUAUGAUUGAUCCACAAUUUGCUCAAAAGGUGGAAAUUGUUCAGAGUGAGAGUGGAACUAACUUUAACUGCAUGAAAAAUUAUUUUCCAAACCUCUUGUGUGGGUACACAGCAGCAACAAAAUGGAAGGGUGGAAUGCAAACUUAAAUAUAUUUUGAAUAAUGUUGCUUCUGCUUUAAGAUUUUAGGGAGAAUUACCAGGGAUAAAUGUGUUUUAGCUGCUCAUCUACUAAAUUGGACACCAUCCAAUGUUAUCUUCAACAAAACUCCAUAUAUGAGAUUCUUUUUCGUUAUGCUCUUUCAUUUAGUGACUAACAAACCAUUGGAUGCUUAGCUUUCAAACAUAAUCAACAAGCUAAAGGUGACAAGUUUGCUAGUUGAAGUCAUAAACGUGUUUUUACGUGGGGUAUUCAUUUGUCGAAAAGGUUUUAUAUUUUAUUUGAUCUUGAGAUAAAUGAGUUUUACGAUUAAUUAGUUACGACGAUGGUACUAAGGCAUGCAUGUUGGUUUAGGAAGUCUUGUGAUCAAACCUCUACAUUGUUGUUCCAUCGAUUGAAAUUGAUAUUAUUUUGUUGAGUAUUUUACAUAUUUCAAGCCCACAAGUGAAGGAGAGUAUUAUUGAUAUGAAAUUAAAAUUUAUUUCUCUCCCACUUCUAACUUAAAUAUCUUGGUCAAUUGGCGAUUUAAGAACUAUCAAUCAUUGUAGCUUCUCAACCUCUUGUUUUUCCCUCUUAAUGGUUAGUUUAGUCGUCCCUCAAUCUUAAGUUUUGAUGUCGCUCGCCACCACUUGAUUGCAAACAACAUAUUAAGUUUCGCCAUAGUUUUUGCUCAACCCUUUUUAUUACUUCUAGUCCAAGAGGUGAAUCCACAGAAUCAUAAUUCAUAUGUGGUUUGGUUGGGUUUUAGUUAUAUAUGUAUUUAAUCUUUUUUUUUUAUUUAGAUCAAUUUGCCCCUAAACCGAACCAUCAAAUACCCUUAUUUGGUAGCAAAAUUCAUAAAUGGUGUUAUAAUUUUAACCAUUGUUUUAAAUGUAAUAGUACUAUGGACAAACCAUAAAACUAAUUCAACCUACCUACUAAAUAUUAAGUAUACUAUUAUUGAUUAAGUUAUAAACAUGUUUUAUGUUCAAUUUUUGUAUAAUCAUUAUUUUUUUCAAUAUUGUAUAACUUAUAAUUAUUCAUUAUAUAAUAUAUACAUUAGUUUUUUAAAAAAGAAUUGAGUUCAUAACAUCAAGCAUUGCUUUUCUUUUGUUUUUAUCUUUUUUAAAAUAUUUUUUUACUUUAAGUUUUAAAAUUUAAAAUUCAAAUUAUGGAUACACCAAAAAGUUUUCUUUUUUUAUAAUUUAUAUCUUUUGAAUCACAAAAUUAAAAAAAUUGAAACACCCUAGAACAUGAAAUUAUGAUUAAGAAAAGUUUAAAAGAAACGAACGUCACUACCAUUAUCAAAAAAAUACACGUUCAUUUCAGUGGUUGAAUCAUAAAAAGUUCAAAGUUAAGCGUGCUAAGCUUUGAAAAAUCCUAUUUCAGGUGAUCUUAAAAUUCUCUUAUAAAACAUCCUAAAAUGAACCACAUUGGUUUGUGAGAGUAACUUGAGAAUGUUAGAGUUAUUAGUUACUAAAUCUUGAUCGGAAUCCUAAACUUGGGGCGUUACCAAAAGUUUGAGACACAAAAUUCAUAUUGAGAAACAAUAACUUAAUGUAUCUGCAAACAAAAUAGUAUCUAGAUUUAGAACCAAACAAAACCUUCUACUUUAUUACAUGAAAUUUUGUGUGUUUAUUUUCUAAUAUAUAGAUAAGAUAAAUUUGAAAUCUAAGACUGAAAAAAAAUAACUUUGGGAUGGAAAUAAAGUUAAUGCAUUAUUUACAUAAGUUGUUAAAAAAGCUAAAAUAAUUAAUGUACGGUAUUUUAAAUUUUGUGGUUAGUGUUAUAUGAAUAAAGAAUGUGACAAAGAUUCCAUAAGUAUUUUUGUUUUAUUUUUAUUUUUAUUUUUAAAUUUAAUCUCCCUAUUUUUACACCAAUUUUAGAAACUAUGCUUCAUUUUCUUCUCCUCAUCAUUCAUUGCAUCAUGGAAAGUUACACCAAUCACUUUUGACCUAUAAUAACUACUUCCAAACUUAUCUUCAUCCUCCUCUCUUAAUUAGAAAAAGUAAAAACAAAAUAAAAAUAAUUAUUUAUAGAUUAUCUAUAUUUUAAAUUUUAAAUUAAAGAAUGGAUUAUAUUAAAUAAAGAUAAUAAUAUUUAAAUAUAUAAUCAUGUUAUAAACUUAAAUAUAAUCAUCAAACUCUUGUUUUUAUCAAAUGCGCUUACCAUACAUAUAUGCUUUGUAAUUCAUUCACAGCACGUGAAAAUACUUUGUUUUACAAAUAUUAAUUAAAUCUUACCUAAAAGUAAAAUAAUUUUAAUUCCUCACUAAUUUUUAAAGUUAACAUUGCAACACUUUGAUAAGUUUUGAAAACAAAACUUUAAAUUAAGAAUUUGAUACAAUCUGACAUGUCUAUAGGUUAAAUUAUUCUAUGUUGACCUCUGGACUGAAAUGUUUGUUCAUCAUAGUUCUUAUAAAUUUGGAUGUAGUUCAUGUAUAUAUAGCCUACAGACUAGUGAUGCCAAUUGUACAUGUUGGACUAUGUACGUGAAUUAAUAAAUUAUUGUAUUAGAUUAUUUUAUUAAAUUAAGUCUAUUAUGUGAUCUAUUUAAUUAAGGUCAAAGAUUCCUAAUUGAGUAUGAAUUAAAUGGGUAGAAGCCUAUUACUAGAUUGAUUAGGAUUUAACUGGAAUUCUAUGAACUAGUAUAUAAAGAGAUUUAGGUCUGUGGUUCAAAGAUACUAAAACAAUAAGCACUCAGUCUUUCUUGUAUCUCACCGAGAGAAAGAUCUCACUAAGGGUAUUCAUGGUUUUGGUUGAGAAAGAUAAUAGUCAUUUUAUAGUCUUUAGGCAGCGACUAUUUUAUAGCCAUCAUUAAUGGAAUCAAAUAUGUAACUUAUUCUUGACAAUUCGACAUGAAUGAUAUUGGGUUAAUCUAUUAUAUAGAUUUAAAGCAAAUAUGCCAACAAGUGGUAUCAGAGCAUGAACUUCAUGUUGAAUUGUUGGAAUAUGUUUGUUUUUUUUAUUAUUAUUGAUUUUUUUAUCCAAGAUUUUAUUAAUCAUAUUUUGGUUUUAAGUUUAAUGGUUGUUGAUUCAAGAUUUGAUUAAUCAUAUUGCGUUUUUAAAGUUAAAUGAUUCUUGAUUCAAGAUUUGAUUAAUCAUAUUGUGGUUUUUCAAAGUUUAAUGUUUCUUGAUUCAAGAUUUGAUUAAUCAUGUUGUGAAUUCAUGUUUAAUUUGAUUCAGAUUAAUUGAUCAUCCCGUGGAUUAAACUUGAAUGAUAAUUUUUUGUGAUAUUCACAUGUUUAUGUUAUAUUAGUUGCAUUUUAAUGUACCCAAUUAUUGGAUGAAUUUUGGUAAAGAUUAUUUGGUGUUCUUCCUUCAUUAUUUGUUUACAAUAAUAAAAUUAUUGUUAUUGUGUCUUAUUUUUUAGAUGAAUUGGUCAAAAUAACAUAUUGUCAAAGCAGUCUAUGUUAUCUAGAUUAGUUUAAUUCUAGACUAGGAUAUACAUAUUCAUUGAUUUAUACGAAUAAUUAUCAGCCUAAAGGAAGAUAAUUAUUUGGCCAAAUUAUGAGUAUGCGUGUGGUAAUGAGUAUGUGACAAUUAUAAGGAUUGCACAUGAGAAAAAUAGUCAGUCCAAAGAAAGGCUAAUUUUUGUACAGAGUUUAUUGUCAGUACUUUGAUUACUACGUUGAGAGUACCAUUUACACAGUUGGUGUUUCUACCCAAAGGUUGGACAUCAAUGUUGUGCUAGGUAUCUUGUAAAAGGGGCCACCAUAUAUGUGAAAUUAUUUUGUCAUAUUUUAUUUUAUGACAACCAUUAAUUGUGAGUAUAUAACUUAUUUGUUUGUUUUUUUGUUUAGUUGGUCUUGCUCAAAUAUCUAGAAAUAUGUGUUCGAUCCCUAAGUUGAAUGGAUCAAAUUUCAAAAUUUGAAAGAAAAGCCUAGAGAUACUUCUCGAGAGUAUGAAUCUAGACCUUGCAUUAAGGACUGAUAAACUUGCCUUCUACUAAGAAACAAUCAAAUACGACUAAUAUUGAGAAGUGAAAACAAUCAAAUCGCAUGUGUCUCCUGAUUAUUAGGCACUUCAUUCAAGAGUUUUUUUCCAGAUUCUAUCACUAAAAAGUGAAAAUGUCAAAAAGUUCCUUGCCGAAAUUGAAAAAUAUUUUGCUAAAAAUGAAAAAGGAAAGGCAAGUAUUCUUUUGACUACUUUAACUUCCAUGAGGUAUAAGGUUAAUGGAAACAUAAGAGAGUCUAAUAUGGAAAUGUCUAAUCUCGUUGGUAAAUUAAAGGCAUUUGAUAUCGAGAUAAAUAAAAAUUUACUCAUACAUCUAGUACUUAUCUCUCUUCCUACACAAUUCACUCAGUUUAAGAUAAGUUAUAAUACUCAGAAGGAUAGAUAAAGUAUUAAUGAGUUUAUCUCACAAUGUGUGCAACAAGAAGAUAGGAUUAAGAAAGAAGAGACAAAAAGUGCUCACUUGGCAACUAACUUUCAUGGUAAGAAGUAUGAUUAAUCAUUCUUCUUUACCGAAAUCCCUCUUAGGUGAGACACUAAAGACUGCAACAUAUAUUCUCAAUAGGGUACCUACUAAAGCCGUAGCUAAAAUCCAUUAUGAGUUGUGGAUAGGAAAGAAAGCCUAGAAUUAGGCAUCUUCACGUCUGGGGUUGUCAAGCUGAGGCUAGGCCUUACUGGCCUAACGAAAGAAAAUUGGACCCAAGAACUAUUAGCUGCUAUUUUGUUGGGUAUUUUGAGCAUUCUUGGGAUUUCAAGUUUUAUGAUCCCACUUCGAGAUCAUUUUUUGAGACUGAAAUGCCAGAUUUCUUGAGAAUGUUGAGUUUGAAAGAAAGAUAACAUAAAGAAAGUUGUCUUUGAAGAAGAAUUAUUUUCUCUUCCUAAUGUGGGCAUGGAUGAUGUUCAGGCUGGAAUUCUUGACUUCACUAUGAAACUAAUUAUAGAACAAGACAACAAUGAAGUUCCUAUUGAAUCUGAAAUUUAAACUCAAUAAUCUCAAGAAGUGACAUUAAGGAGGUCCACAAGAGAAAAGAGAAGUGCAAUUUCAAAUGAUUAUAUUGUGUUUCUUCAAGAACAUCAGGAUAAUAUGGGCAUAAUGGAAGAUGAUCCAAUCAACUUCCAACAAGCUCUAUAAAGUCCUAACUAUCAAAAGUGGAUAAAUGCUAUGGAAGAGAAAAUAAAAUUCAUGAAAUUAGACAAUGACAUUUAGGAAUUUGUGGAAUUGCCAUCAGGAGUGAAACUCAUAGGUUGUAAAUGGAUAUUUAAAACCAAAAGGGAUUCACAAGCUAAAAUCAAAAGAUAUAAAGCUCGUUUUGUUACAAAGGAUAUUACUCAAAAGGAAGACAUUGAUUACAAAGAGACUCUCUCCAAUUUUGUCGAAAGACUUUUUCAAGGUAAUCAUGGCAUUGAUAUCUCACUUUGAUUCAGAGCUACACCAGAUGGAUAUGAAAAUUGUGUUUCUCAAUUGAAACGUUGAUGAGACAAUUUAUAUGGUACAACCAGAAAACUUUAUAUCUAAUAAUUCAAAGUCUAUGGUAUGCAAAUUGAAGAAAUCUAUUUAUGGUUUCAAACAAACCUCUCGUCAAUGGUAUCACAAAUUUUAUUAAGUAAUUACCUCUUUUGGUUUUGAGGUGAGUAUAAUGGAAGAUUGUGUAUAUCACAAGUUCAAUGGGAGUAAAUCUAUUUUCUUGGUGUUAUAUGUUGAUGACAUACUCAUAGCAAAUAAUGAUGUAGGUUUAUUGCAUGACAGUAAGAGAUUUCUCAAAAGAAAUUUUCAGGUGAAGGAUCUUGGUGAUGCUUCUUUUGUAUUAGAAAUUGAAAUACUGCGAGAUUGCUCUCGGGUAUUAGACUUUUAAAAGAUUGUUUUUUUUAUAAAAAAAAUGAUUAGGGAUAGACACAUUUAAAAGUAUAAAUUAUAAUUAAUAAAACUAUAAAUUUUGGUGUAAUGAUACAAUUAUUUAUUUGUGGUCUAAACCGGUACAACAUUUAAAAGUAUAAAUUAUAUAUAUAUAUAUAUAUAUUUAAUUAUUUUGGUUUAGAAAAUAACAUAUCUCUUCUAUAAUAUAAUAAUGUAAAUUUUAUAUAUAUUAAUUAUGUCUAGCAGAAGGGAGCUCUUUUUCGUCAAAUGGCAGAAGGGAUACUUAUCUCAUAGACAUGAUAAAGCAUUGCCCAUUGAUAAAUAUUAAACACAUAAAUAAACUAAGUUGAAUAAAGGUUAUAAAUGUCUGUGAACCUUUAUUUUAUAUUCUUUUUAACUCGAUAGAUGUGCAAAAUAAAAAGAGAAGGAAGUGAAAUUUCUCCACAGAUUUACAAAACUUAAAAAGGAACUAAAUAUAUUUUUAAAUAUAACGAAAUAAAUUAAAAUAUUUUAAAAAUAUAGUAAAAUAUUAUCAGAUAUCUGCUCUACCGUGAUAUACUAUUAUUUGUAUCAUUAUAGAUAAUAAUAUUUUUAUUAUAUUUUGAUCACGAUAUACUAUUAUCUAUAUCGUGAUAGAUAAUAAUAUUUUAUUAAAUUGGUAAAUAUUUUUAUAAACCUUGUCUCAUUUGAAGUAAAUUUUGAUAUUAUUAAAAUUAAAAACAUCCACUUAUAAUUUUUUUUUUCUUCAAAAUCAAAAUCACUAAUUUAACCUUUACCGUAAACGAAAUGUUUUUCAAUAUACGACCUUGACAAAAUACAUUUGAAAAAUAAUUAUCUCACGUUAGAAAAUUUCAAAGAAGUAAUAGUCUCCAACAUAAUUUUAGUCACGAACAUAAUUUGAGAGGAAGGUAUGCCUUUAAAUCAUUGAAGUAAAAAAAAAAAAAAACUUUUAAACUUGCAUAUACUAAACUCUAACUAAAUUUUGUUUUUAUUUGUUGGUUUUAAAAUAUAAGAUUAAAGGGUGUUGUAGUACAAACAUUUUGACAAAGUGGUUUUGUAAUUAGAAUUAGAGAUAAUGAUUUCUUUGUGAUGGAAACAAUUUUGUUUCUAGUAAAUUAUCUUUAUAGAAUCUUGGCUUCUGUUUUAAGUUUGGAGUUUUAUGUUUUGUAGAUUUGUUGUUUUCUUUUUAACUUUUUUUUUAUUUCUUUUUCACCUUUCUCUAUGUUAGUAGUGAAAAGUUUCCCACUCAUUAAACUCAAACAUUGCCUUUUAUUUUGGAUAAGGUGAGAAGGAUUCGAUUCAUAUAUAUAUAAGUUAUUAAAAAUGAGGAGGGUGGCAUCCGUUUUAGGGUAUUAUUAGUUGGUUUGAGCCUAUAUGUUCUUAGGAUGGAAUGAGUAUUUUCCAGUGGGAGUUAGGGAUGGGAAAAUUAGAACAAUAAUGUUGGGUUUUUAAUAAUUUAAUUAAGUCGGAGUGUGAAAGUAAAUGGAAAGAUGGGUAAUUGGGUAAUUGGGAAUAUGGAGUGAAAAAGAUUGUAAGGGUGAAAUGUAGAAUUUAAAAUAGAAAAAGUGAAACAAUGCCACGUGUAGAAGAGGUCCCUCAGAAUUUGGAGGAUUGCUCCAAUAAUGUUGGUGGUGGGAGUCAGCGUACGGUGAUGAUUAAAUUAAAAUAUAGGGACCACUAAAAGACAAACACACCCCUUCCAAAACACACACGGACCACAUGCAUUCAUCUAACUAAACACUCCAUAUUCAUUUUCUUUAUGUUCUAUAUACAUAUGUAUAUCCUAUUCUUUUUCCAAACAUUAUUACCAAUUCAAACUCAUCUAUCGUAAAAAUAUAUAUAUAUAUAUAUAUAUAUAUCCUAUUCCUUUUGUAUGAGAAGAUCUUUUUGUGAUUCUUCAACCUUAUCCCAUAUAUAUAUAUGUAAAUAUAUGUAGCAAUAAUCUGCUAACUCUGUUACUCUGUGUGUUUCAGAACUCCUGUCCCUGCACUGUGUACACUUUAUGGCCACAUUCAUUUUAGCUUCUCUACAAUAUUAUAUAAUUCUACAACAAAACAAUGCUCUAAAAUUUCAUCAUUAUUUUUUGUGUUUUGUGUUCCUCAAUCUGUCCUUUCCGGUCACAAUCUUGUUUGGUUCUGUAUGUAAUAUGAGGGACACCUCACAAUUCCAAACUGUGCUAAUCAACCCUCAAUUACUCGUUUCAAGUCCGAGAUCACAUUGUCAUAUUGCUUCAUGCAUGACAGAGGUAUCUUAAUUAGACUUGAUGGAUCAAUAUAUAUAUAUGUACUCAUGCUAGUUCUUCAACCAUAUGUCUUUUAUCAUGGGAUUAAAUGGUUUAGUUAUAAUAGAUAAUUUAACAUUAGGGUAUAUAAUUUUGAGUUAAAAAGAAACCAUUCGACUUAAUGAAUGAGAGAAUAGCAUAAGAUAAGUGAACAGAGAGUACGUUUCCCUUUCAAAUUUUCUUAUCAGUAUAAGACUCUUCUUUUCUUACAAUUAUGAGAAGGCUAUGAAUCAUCCUUUUAUGUACUACAUAUAUGUGGACAUAAACCAUCGGAAUGUCCACAACUGAAAUCCCAAGCCCUUCUACAACUCUUCUAGAAAGUUCUACCACCUUGGUAACAAUUGUUGCACUUCAAUGGAGCUAAUUAAAUAGUAGAAAAACCUGCAAAACAAAAUUAUGUUGACAAAAUGGCUGACUCGCGAAUCUCCACUAUUACAAAACUUAAUUUACUUGACGUUUAAGAAUUGUCAAGUAUCUAUUUACUUGACACUUUUCAAUGCGUCAAGUAAUCUAAUGUCAAGAAUAAGGGAGCUUUAUUUGAUAGUUUUUAAGCGUAAAGUACAAUUUUGGCUUGGUUUUAUUAAACUUGAUUUUAUUUUUAGGUUAGUGUUAAUUGUGCACCACACAAACCAGCAUACCCAUAAUUUAAAAUUUUAGAUCCAUAAUCUUUUCAAAUGGUGUGAGACAAUAUAUGGUUGAAAAAUAGUGCAACUGAUCACUCAAAAUUUUGAUGCAUGUAAAUAUGUGAUGCAAAUUUGGCUUACACUUUUAAUAACAUUAAAUUUAGAUAUGAAGUUGAACUUGUACCCAAUAUAUAUGUCUUUUGAUGGUAAUAGAAUUACAUCUAUCUAACUUUAAACGAGAUAAAUGUUUGCUGAUUAUUAAUUGACUACGCUAAUUAUGUAUUUUCAUUUGUCUUUGCAUCUUAUAACCUUUAACUUUACAUAAAAGAAUUAUACUUCUUAUUAAUUGAAUUUACUAUCUAUGGUUAACACUAGUCGAUAAAAUACAAAAAAAAAAGUAGUCAAAUCUAAAGGAUUUUUGUUCAACAUUUUUGGUAUACGAUCAUUUAAAAUUUGGUAGUCAAAUCUGAACAAUUUUUUUCAUGAUUUUUUGGUAUGAUAGUUUAUAUUUGGCUACUUUUUGUACACAAUAAUGGUUUAGAUUUGCUCGUUUAAAUUUGCUAAAUCUGAACAAUUUUUUUAAGAUUAUUUGUAUAUGAUCAUUUAGAUUUAGCUAUCCAAUAUUCCAACAUUUUUUUUUCGAACAACCAAACAACAUUUUGUUUGAAAAAAAAUAGAUCUUUUAUAUUUGAUACACGAUCUUGAACCAAAUAACAAUUUUAAAAAAUAAAAGAAAAGAAAAAUUAAGAAGAAGAAGAGAAAAAGAAAAUUCCAUAAAAGAAAGAAGAUGAAAAUGAAUGACAAAUUUAUAAUAUUUAGAAAAAAAAUAACCGAUUUCAUGGCUUUUUUAUUUUAUUGCACGAGCCAUAGAUAUUUUGGUAUUUUGUUAUAUUUAUGAAAAUUAACCAAAAAAACUUCAUUUAUCUAAAUUUAGAUUAAAAAUAAUGUAUUUGAUAGUGGCCUAUAUAGAUUAAACAUAAUUGUAUAUAUAAAAAUAAAAUACAAAGGCAACCCAAUUGAUAGAUUGACAAAUUUUAAGGCAUAAAAUUAACAUGGAGCAAAAUUUAGACCAUCAAAACAUUUUACUAUUCACAUGUAACACUUUAGAAAUAAUAAUUAAGUAUAUAAUAAUAUUUUUAAAAAAGUUUAUAAAUUUAGCAAAGUUGAUUAAUAAAGACUUUUAUCAUUAAUAGAUAAUGAUCACCAAACCUACAUCAUUGCAGUAGGAGAAGAAGGAGGUUAAAUGGGAGAUCACUAGUGAAGAAAACACGAGAAUAGUCACACAAGUAGUUAAGUAAUUGUUAUUGUGUUAUGGGUUGUUAUUUUGUUACUAGUUGUUAUGCUGUUAUUCUGUUAGGAUCUGCUACUAGUUGUUAUGUUGUUAGGAUCUGUUACUAGUUAAUGGGUAAUUAGUUGGUAAAUAUAUUAGUAUAAAUAAGAAAAGACUAGAAGAUAAGAGGGCAGAAAGUGAAUUAGAGAUAUUUUUGCAAUUCCUUGAGAGGUAGGAAGGUAGAUUAGAGAGAUUUUCAAAUUGAGAUCUCCUCAAUUUCUCUGUAUUAAUUCCUGAAUCUGAAGCAAUAAAAGAGAUUCGUUACAUGAAUCAACUUGGUGUUCUAUAAUAAAUUUUAUCAUAUUUACUAUUUUUUAAAAAAUGUUAUUAUUUGAUAAUAUUUUCAAUCAAAUUAUUAUAUUUCUAUUUUUCACUAACAAAAUGUGAGUAAAGUGAACCUAAGGCCAAAUUGGAUAGACUUAGCCCAAGUCGUAUGGGCCUCUAGUAUUUAAUUGGGUCAAACUUAGGUCAGCCCAACCUUUUUAAACAUAAACUCAUAGCUGAAUAUUUAUCAACUAGAUAAAUAACUAAAUAAAUACUUGAAAAAUUGUAAUAGAUGACUAUUUUAGCAAUAAUAAUUAAGGAUAUAUCAACAUUUUAUAAAAACUACAAAUAUAACAAAACUAUCACUGAUGGACUUGUAUCAUUGAUAUACUUCAUAUGAUAUAUCAGUGAUAGACCAAUAUUUGUAACAUGGUCUAUCAGUGAUAGAUUUAUAUCAUUGAUAGAUUUUGACAAAUUUUGCUAUAUUUGCAAUUUUUUUAAAAUUGUGUUAUAUACUUAAUUAAUUUGAAUUUAAUUGUCAAAUUUGCAACUAUCCCUAAAUACUUUAGGUUGGAUAAAUAGCAAAAUAAAUAGAUAGUUAUAUAAAAAAAAUUAAAUUAAUUAAAUAUGAAUAGACAAAAAUAAUCCACUUAAAAUAAAAACCCAAUAUUCAAAUAAAGUUCCACGAAAAUUUAAAACCCACUCAAAUACAUUAUAAUAAAGUGAUUAUUGUAUCCAUCAAACCUCAAAUCAACCAUAAUUGAUAGAUUAGAAACUUAAUACACAACUCGAGAUUCUCUCUCUUCGUGCGUGAACUGAGAACCACCGAGAAGAAACCAUCACUCUUCUUUUUUCUCUUUAAACUACGAUAGAAAGUAUUUAUUACGACCGUUAUAUAUAUACAUUCCAAAUUUGAAGGGAGGAAAAAAAAUGUCACAAAAGGUAAAAAUCUGUGUUUUUGGCCGAAAAAGAUGGAAUUUUUUAAUUUUCACUUUUCGCGACAAUUAUUUGUUGUCAUUAAAAAUACAAAAAAUAAUUUAUUUAAUUUAUUAAAAUAAAAUUCAUUUUUAAAUGAGAAUUUAUUAAAAUCAUAUUUUUCUCCAAUUUUAAAACCCUCACGGCUCACGCAAAUGAAUUUACCAAACCCUUACGUGAUUCUGACCAUCUUCGACCAUCAAUUUAUGUUUGUCACUGCCACUGCCCCCUCGUGCCCGUCUCUUCACUCCAAAGCCGCCUCAACCUCUUCACGAGCCAUCUUUUCUCAUAUAUUUUUUUACUAAUGUCUACGAGCUCGUUCAAGCAAGCUAAGAGCAUGAGUUUGGUAUAUUCUUGAGCUUUCUAUGGAAUUUUGUAUUUUUAUCAUCUCUUUUUAAAAUCAAAAUCAUAUUUGUUUUGUUCUUUUUUUUUAAAAAAAAAAAAGACAUGUUGAGAUAUCCCGAUUAGAGAAAAAUACCCAAACAUAAUUUCAGUAAGAUUUAUGACUUUUCUUGUUUGUUCUUCUAUAUUCAAUUUUGAUUUUCUUCAUUUUUGUUUACUGUAUUUAGGAUUGAUUGACCUUAACUGCAUAAUCUUUUAGUAUGCAUGAUUGUAUUCUUGAGCGAUUAUGUGUCAUGUUGUUGAUGACUUCAUAAACGAUGAUGACAAACAAUUAUAUGUUCAAAGCGGAUAAAGCAAUGGCGAAUAAUAAUAAUGCUGAAUCACUUAUUAAUAUAUAUUUUGUUUUUAUAUAUUCAUAUCAAGUACUGUCAUAUGUUUAAUUAAUUUUAGUUUAUAUGUCCUCAGGUACUACCAUGUCUAAUUCCCAUGUCGGUUUCGAUGAGAGUGAUUGUUUUUUUUUUUUAUUUUAACGUUGAAUAGUUUAAUAAUGUAGGAGGCAUGUCUUAGUGGGUGACACAUUAGGUUAGUCAAAGUUACAUAAACAAUUAACUGCAUAAGCCUAAAGUUUUGUUUAGGAAAUUAUUUUGUUUUCAUAUAUAGCUCUCAACUUACUGCUCGCACUCCUAGAAGACAGGAGCACUAGAGGAACCUGGAGUUGGAACAAUAUGUUGCACAACAUGUAGAGAUCCUCAUAUUGACCGUUCUAGGAUAGGAUAAGUCGAUCUCAACAUACGCUAUUCGCUUCAGCUGUGCCAUCGAUGUGGUAAAGCAGUACACUUUUUCAAGUCGCUUUCUUAAGUGGACUGACGUUACACCUGAAUACAUUGACCUCAUGAAGGGCGCUUUACGGGUAAGCUACCUACCUAUAUAUUUAGAAUCCUAACCUGUACAUAUAUGUUACCUAUGUAUAUAUAUAUAUAAUUCAAAUUUGUGUGUAAUUUUCUUUUGUAGCAAUGGUUCAUGUUGGAUUUCACAGAUCCAAAACUUACUCGGUUCGUUGAGCAUCAAAUACUUACCAUCUGGAAGGAGUUUAGGGGACAAAACCACCACCAUUUAAAGAAGUUUAGUGAUUCUGAACAGGCACGUGCUAACCCACCCCCAGAUUGAAGAAUAGUGUGGAAGAUUUGCACUUUUUAUGUGACCACUACCUUACUUGACAAUUUAAGGUGAUUUAGAACUUUUUUUAAUAUUCUCAAACGAUAGUUCUUUUUUUUUUUUUUAUGUAAUAUUUUGAUUAUUUACAUGUAGGAGCUAUCAAUGAUGAACAUGGUUGCUAAAGCGAAGUAGUCCUACAACCACAGUAGUAGUGCUAAGUCAUUUCUACAACAAGCAUGACCUCAUUGAACAACGGGUCAUCUAGUCUACCAUGUGGAGUAGCUCAAGGAAACACACGCUCGAGGUGGCCAGUUCAUUUCAUCAGCGGUUACCGAUGCUCAUGUAAGUUUUUGUAAUGCUUUUGUCUUAUUUUGUACAUACAUUUAAUUUACACGUUUUACUUCAUUAAUGAAAAUUUUAUUCUAGGGUCAGAUGUUGGAACUCCAGUCUUAUUCCACCCUAGAGGUUUCUCAACCACUUGUUGGGAAUGAGAUAUCUGUGAUAGUCUUAGGUAGACGAUCGGACUACUCAAAAGGUUUUAGUUGGGGUCCCAGGCCAAAGUCCCAACACGCUGCUAGUAGUUCUUCGUCUACAUUCCACGAGCGAGAGAUGCACGUUAGGGAGGUUAUCAAGCUAAAAGCUCAUCUUCAGGAAGUAGAAGAAGAAAGUAACCAGAGGCAUGAAGAAAGUGCUCGACAGAUCGAAGAAAUGAAGAAGAUGAUUGAAGAACUCACUCGGGCUACAAGAUCAGGACCUUGAUUUCUUCAUUGAUGUACGUAAUUUUCAACUUUUACAUUCUUUAAUUUCUAAUUUGGGUGAUAUAUAUUAAUUAAACUUAAUUUUGUGUCAUUGUAGGUUCAAAGGCAUGGGAGGACUGCAUCUGCACUACUUAGAUUAUGUUUUUAGUUAUUUUGUUUUAAGUUUAGGUUAUUCAUGUACUUUUUCGAACUACAAGCAUGUACUUUUUUGUAUAUUUGAAUUAAUUUUAAUAUAAAUUAGAUUUGAUAUUUUAUUAAUUUUGUGUUACAUGUUUUCCUCUUUUAGAAUUUGAAACAAUUUAAAUCGAAUUUGAUCCCAAUAGCAACAAAAACAAUUAAAUAAUAAAAAAAUAAUCACGACGCACUAGAUGCAUCGAGAAUAGACGCAACGACGCGGUAUCGUUCCACGCUAUGUCGACGUUGCGUCGAUCGUCCAUUUAAGUCGACGUACACGACGACGUCGUCAAUACCAUAUUGUUGACAUGUUGACCAAACGUCGACAAAACACUAUUGUCGUCUUCCUAACCUGAUGUCGGCAUUAGCUUAUUGUCAACGUGUUGAUCUAGUCGGUGAAUUAUGCGUUGGUCAAAACCAUAUGUCAACACUGUCUCAUUUGAGUGUCGACAUUUGCUCUUACGACACGACACUCACAACACGUGCACCGACAUGCAUUUCUGCAUCAACGUAGACACUGUGAACAUAUCUUUUAUUUUUAACAGCGCCUACUGAGCCAACAAACUUGGGCUACUCUCACUUAUGCAAAUCUAAAGCUAAUCUCGAAUAACUAGGAGUUCAUAGUUAGCUUCAGAUUUAGCUUCAGAUUAAGAUCGAGUUACCUAGGUCAUCAAACUUGAAAUAGUCAAUAAACAAUAAAUAUGGCAUUAUAAAGUAAAAGUCAUUAUGUCGUGGUCUGGUCUUAUACAAACUCAUUGUAGGAUGCUUCCGCUCCCUCUCUACAUAAACGAUUUAAGAUCACAUCGUUUUGUAUCAAAUACAUAGUAGGUUGCAUCCAAGUUGUCUGCAAAAUAAGAUGACCAACAUUAUUUCUAUACUAUGGAUCAUUUAGGCUAUUUUACUCAAACUUGGUCUACUUUUACGUUAAUACAUAAAGUUCAAGUGUUCAUAUUAUAAUUAUGGGAUCUCAGUUUAUUGGAUUCAAGGUUAUAAUGACCAAAUUACUUAUUCAACAACUUUAUUAAAUAAUAUCUCUAUAACUACUUUAUUUUGCAAAAUAUACAAUGUUCCACGUUUACAAACCACACGAGUUUUUAGUACAUAAAAUCCAACAAUAUUUUCAAAAAUAGAUUCAUAUCCAUUAUAAUAAUUUAUGAAAAGGUUAUAUUGGAAUGAGUUGGUCAACUGUUAACCUUAAGUUGAUCUUUGAUCGAGAUUGGAGUGAGCUCGGAUCAGCCUUUGAGUUUUGGAUCCAAAUAUGAGAUGGAAGUGGUAUAAUAAACUUUUAUGCUCGAAAUCAAUGUAGUACAAUUACGAACUUUAUCUUAGUUGAGCUAUGUUUGUGUUUGAUAAGAUUUUACUUUAAAAAUUGAGUGUAAGUACAUACAAUCCUUUAGAAACAAAAUGUGUAGUGUUUCAAUUAACCUACUUUAUAUACAGAGAGAAAGAAACCAUGCGGUUGAUGAAUUUGUGCUACAUUCAUUCAUAUAUGUGUGAUGAACCCUUAGAAUCAACCACAAACCUAUAUGAUAAGACAAGUGAAUUCAUAUACCAAACAUAAACUCACCUUCUCAAAAUACAUUAUAUUCUUAUCUAAACCAACUAUUAUGUGUGUGCCAAAUACAUGGUAAAGAGUUUACACGACCACAUCUUCGACACGGUCGAGGUUCGCCUUUAUCCAAUCUCUUCUCUAGUUUUGUUUAUGCAUUUUAAGGCAAUUGUUUAGGUUUAAGUGAGGAUCUUGUAGCAAGAGACGGUCUCAUUUGGACAAUUUGGUCUUCACUAACUCCCAUUCUCUUAGCUAAACGCCCUGCCUCAAAGAAUCUCCUUACAGCCUCUCUCAUAUACUGCCUACCUUCUUUCACAUUCAUAUCCUUUCCAAUGGCUUCAGGGUAACUAGUGAAGAUAUUGUCUCCUUUCAUAACUGCAGCCAACUGCAUUAGCUCCUGCUGAAACUCGGUAAGAUUCGCCUUUUCAUUUGCCGGGGUCUCCCUGAUCUUCACCGGUGUUGGGAGUUGUUCUAUAUUGAAAUUGGGUAAACAGAAAUGUAAGUUCAAACUGAUAUAGUUUUCUUGGAUUUGAUCUGUGGUAAUUAAUAUGGUUAAGGAUGUGUUCUGAACUCACCGGGGCAGUCGGUUCUCGGCUCUGUGCGGGUUUGCACAAUGAAUUCGAAGGAUCCGGCCCACUCGUCCCUCUUGGUGAGGAAGGGAGAAGAGAGGUUGAAGAGCUUCUUGACAGUGGCAGGAAUGGAGGAGUGUUCAAACUCGGAGGUUUGGAAAGGUGAUCCUUUAGGGCUAUGGACAACUGCAUCACCAUCACAAACAUUUUGUUAAUUCUUCUCAAAUGAAACUACCAAGUCUUUAGAGCUUUUUCCAUAAUAAUUCGAUAUACAGAAAUAUCUAUUAUCAGUAAACUUAUGAUCUUGCCAUAUUUUCUCCCUUUUACACACGCAUCAAAUUUCAAAAUAGAUUUUAGAUCUUGGUAUGAAGUGGGAAGUAAACAAAAAUAAUGAUAACAAUAACGUUUAAAUAUUAAUAACUUAAGUUCUCUUCCUAAUUAUACUUUUGUUUUAUGUUUUUAGUUUUUGAAAAAUAUGCAUGUUUUCUUACAGUUUAUUACCGUGUGAUUUGUAUCGAUAUUAAGUAAAAAAUUACCUUCUUAACUUGGUUUUUGAAAACAUGGGUAAAAUGUAGAUAUCUAAGGAAGGAACAUUUUGACUUGGUUUAUUUGAUAAGAACAUUAUACCACCAUAUAUAUAUAUACAAUGUUUUAAAAACAUAGUUUUCAAAAAUUCUAAAAGCAUAGUUUUCAAAUUUUGACUUGGAAUCAUGGGUAAAAUGUAGAUAUCAAACCAAAAGAUUUAAGUUUAAUUUUAAAAAACUAAAUUGUUAACCAACAAAACUUUAGUUUUCAGUUUGGUCACACUCUUUUUAUUGAUUUUAUUGGUCUAACUUCAUAAGUCUAUCUCUAAGCCAUAUUUUUAAGUAGUCAUAUUCCUAUUUUCUUACAUAAAAAAUUAACAACUUUUAAAGAAAAUAAAUGGCCACAUGCACCUUUUAGUUUGGAUGCAGACCAGCACUGUAAAUUUUCCAUUAGCUCCUUUCAGUUUUAUUUGAUAAGAACAUUGUACCACUACACACAUAUAUAUAUACACACACAAUGAUGGGAUACUAUCCACUUAAUUAAACGUACAUUUUUGUUGCUUUGUUUUUUGUUUCACUCAAAAAAUAUCAUAAUAGUAGACAAUUGUCCUCACUUAUUUAUAUGUAUACAUACUAUGGUGUAUCUCUUUUAUAUAUCUCUAACCAAACAUGGGAUUUUAUUAGCACUUCAAACAAUUAAAAGUUUUCAAAUAUAAUGUAACCAAAAAAAUGCUUUUCUUAUAAUAACAAAAUUAAGAAUAAGUUGAAACAAUAAUGGUGAUCAAGUUAUUCAUUUAAAUAAAGUUGCUUUUGUAUUUUUUUUAAACUCUUGAAAACAGGUCAAACCAAACCAUCAUAAAUUCAAUCCAAAACAUAUAGUUAGGAAGUAAGACUGGAUAACUGUUUUGAGCAAGAAAAGCAACAAAAAGAGAAGUUGGAAAAACAAAUGGGCAUUGUACUUAGUCCCUUUCUAAAAAAUAAAAUCUGCUACCUUUUUAUUGCAAGUUGUUAUUGGUUACAGAAAAAGCAGUGGGAAAACUAGAAACUAUAUGAUUUGAUUUUUGAAAGUCUACAUCUCAAUCUUCUUUUUUAUUAUGUAGAGCCAUGGCUCACUCCCAUAUUCUCACAAAAAGCCAAAUCUUAGCUGUGAUGCAAUUUUCCUUCCUACUAUACAUAAAAUCAAAAUAACUAAUGUAUUUUCUACCCUACAAGUUUUUAUUACCUUUUAGGAUAAUACAUUAAAUUGUGUGUUCUCUGUAUUUGUUUCAUUGUUUGUGUAUUUUCUAUUGGUUUAAUAUAUAAUUUUCUUGAGUUUUUUUUCUUUUCUUUUCUUUUCUUUUUUUUAUUGUAUAUUUAGAAUGUUCUGUAAAUUUAGAUUUUACUACAAUUGUUUGUUUAUUUAUUGGUUUAAUAUAUAAUUUCCCUUUUUUCUAUUAUAUAUCUAGAAUAUUCAGUUCGGUGAAAAUAUAUAUAUACACACAUGUGUACAUAUAUGAGUUUGCCAGCAAAAGUAUAGGUUUUUGUUUUUUUUAAUUUGUGUAUCCUUUUACUUCCUACCAUUUUCCAUAUUAAGCUCAUAUACUUAAUUACUUCUAAAUAUUUAAUUAAAGUAUUUAUACAUAUACCAAAACCAAAGUUAAAUUUUAUUUUAUUUGUAAAUAUAUUUACUAAUUUUGUUAUUUAAAGCAAUUUCCUCCAACAAAAUUGAUUUUAUUAUUUAAAAUUAAUUUUAAAAACUAUUUUAAAAUUAAAAUAGAUAAAUUUUUAAUUUUUAAAAUUUAUCAAAAGUACCAAAACUCAAAAGAAUUAUAGAAAAUUGGUAGUGUGUAAUCAUUUUUUAAAUAUUAUUUAUUAUUAUUUCUAAAAAAAAUAAUUAUAGUAGAAUUUUUAAAAAUAAUACAUCUUACCAAAUAUUUACAACCUAUAACAAAUUCUAUUGUUGAUAACCAUUGAUAAUUCUAUUGUUGAUAAUCAUUGAUAUGGUGUAAUGAUAGAAGUCAUCAAUGAUAAAAAAUCCAAACUAUCACUCUAAAAUUUUGUUUAAUUUAUUUUUCUAUUUUAAAAAAUAUUCUAGAAUGUAAUAAAAUAUUUUUUAGAAAAAACUAAGAGGUGUACAAGUAAAAAGAAUUAGCAUAGAAUGAACGAUGUAUCACCUUUUAAAUAUUUGUUUAAUCGUUAUUAAUGUGUUAAUAAGACAUAUAACCAAAUUUUCACUCCCAAUGUUCAACUAGAAAAUCAAUAAUAACAUUAAAGAAAGUACUUUAAUCCCAAGGGAAAAUUCAAAUCCAUUAGAAAACAAAAUGACAAGCAAAAUAAAUAUUCGAAAAUAAACAAAGCAUAUGAGAGCUAUGAUAAUUAAAUAAAUAAAUAAACAAGAAAUUUAACCAAAAACAUAAUUUAAAUUCCAAAAAUAUUAUAAAACAGAAAUUAUAAAUAAUAAACAAAAAAUGACAAAAAGAACAAAUAAAGAAGAGGAAGAAGAUAAAAGAAUACAUACCAGUGCCCUUCUCUAUCCACGGUGAGAUCAUGAUGGUCGGAACUCGAACUCCGAGCCGAUUAAAUCCAAACAAAAACGGCUCCGGUCCGACGAUUCCGUCGGGACUAGGUACACCGGUGACAGGCGUUGGAACGUGAUCGAAAAAUCCCCCGUGCUCAUCAUAAGUGAUGAUGAACAGAGUUUCAUUCCACUGCGGCGACGAUCUAAGCGUCUCGUAAACCUCCUUAAUGAACAUCUGUCCUUGAUAUACAUCGUGCGACGGAUGAUCGUCGUUCGCCGGCUCCAGCGGCAAAUCUAUAUACCGUUGCUCCACCACCACGUAGUUCGGCAGUUUCCCCUGCUUUGCAUCCUUCUUGAAGUUCAGACCGUAGUCGUGAAAUUUAUUCACGUAUUUCAGUUUCCGUAGAUUCCGAUAGAACAGCGUCGCUGGAAUGUUCUGGUAAUAGAUUCCAAAUGACAUUCCAGCAUCGUCGAGAUUCUCGAAGAUCGUUCGCUGAGGAUAGCCUUUAGCAAGAAGUGCCGGAAUGUUACUGGUAGCUCCAGCGGAGGUCGCUGAAUGAACAUAAAGGCGAUUCGGUUGCGUGGAGGCCGGUACAGACGCAAACCACCUGUAAAAUCAAUUCGCACAUUCGGAUUCUAGAAUUUUAAAAUCCUUCAAAUAGGAUCAUAGAAUUCCAGAUCUGGAAGAAAUUAGAACAAAAAAUCAAUGAAUCACCUGUCGAAAACGGCGAACUCGGAGACGAGAGUUUUGUAGACAGCGACCUUAUCUGGGAGGAAUCCGUUCAUGACAUCGCCAGACAUGGCGGAGGUAUUAUCCAUGGAGAAAGCCUGUUGAGCGAAACCGUUCAUAGGAGGAGGAUUAGCGGAGGUGUUGUCGGAACCGAAAAUCUGUUCACGAAUGGCUUGAAAGGAGUGGCCAGGGUCGGGGUCGACAUAGUGAGACUGGUCUUGGAAGAAGAAGCGCUUGGAGUUGGGAUCGGUGGUGGAGAGGAGGUUGGAUUCAGAGCCAUCGACGCCGUUGAUUUGAGGAUUAAGUUUUUUCAUCCAGCCAAGCAUGUGGUCGAAGGAGCGAUUCUCCAUGACAAGAACGACAAUGGUGGUGAUUGGAGAGGCAUGGAGGAAGGGAGUGAUGAUGAAGAAGAAGAAGAAGAAGAAGGGAAUGGAUUUGGGAGCCAUUGAAGGAGUUGAUGAAAUGAAGAAUACCGUGAGUUUGUUUGUAUUUAUAAAGUGAGGGGGCAGAUGGAUGUGUGGGGCAAUUUGUUAAGUGUCGUUUUGAUUCUGUGUAAGUUUUGGCAGCUGCUUCAACCUUUUACAUUCUCUCUCUUUCUCUCUAUUCAUUGUAUUUCGGUAAUGUUUCCAUUCAUUUUACAUUCUUUUCUUAAAAAAGAAUAGAAAAAUUAUUUCAUACCCUACAUCUCUUCAAAAUAUUUAGGAAUAAAACUAAAAUUUUACCAUCUAUCAAUUUAGUCCCUUUAGUAAACAUUCAUACCAAUCUCACACGAAUAUAAGUCGGUUGGCCGGUUUGGUCAUUAUAAAAAGUUGAAAUUUACCAAUUUAAAAUUUUCUCAAAUCAACACUGACCGACACGUUUCCUUUUUCAACCAACCAACAUUAGUUCAGUCAAUGGACUCAUUUUUUCGAUUUAUCAUCAUCAUGAUUAAUAGACACGCAUAAACUUCUAUCGCUGUCUAUCUUGAUACAUUUAGAUAAUGAUUGUAUAUUUUAUUAUAUUUCGUACAUAUUUUACUUCAUUUUGCUACAUUUGAAAAUAGUAAUGAACUAUUUUAAAAUAAAUAAAUCUUUUGUCUUCAAAUAGCUUUACAAAUAUUUUAUGUGUAUUUUAAACAAAAUUGUUUAUAUAGAAAUGACUUAUUUAAAAAAUAAUUUUCUAAAUCAUAAUUAUGCUCUAACAUACAUACUUUUUUUUGUAUGAGGGUCAAAUCUUCAUACUAGGGCUAUGCAAAAAAUAGUAGAAAAUUGAAUCGAUAGACAAAUUAAAUCGAAACUGAAUGCAUAUGGUUCAAUUCGAUUUGUGUUAAAUUGAAACUGCUUCUUAUGCGAUUCGAUUCGGUUUAAGAUAUUAAAUUGGUUCUAAAACCGAAUUGAACUACUUUAUUUUUAAAAAAACAAAAUAUAUAAGUAUAACUUAACUUAGGGUAAACAAUACUCGAAAACGUAGAACUCGAACGACACUCAUAAAGCAUAGGGAGACGAAGACGACAUCCUUUGCCAUGAAAACCCUUCGACUCAAUAUCAACUCCAACAAUGACCUUCACUCUGACCCUUAUUGUGUGAAGUGAGGCAAUGGUAAACCUCUCAAAAUUCGGCAACUCUAGCAACUAUUGUUGCAAUGCCCUUCAAACCAUCUUAACAACCUUCACUCCGACAAUGGUAAGUCUCAAACUCUUUGUCACAUGUCGCCCCGCAUGCAUCCUUAACCCUGCAAUAUGAGAUAGAACGCGACUAGCAACUUUGAACUUUAAACAAAUAAGCACUAGAAAACCUAACUUAAGCAACUUAACCAUAAUAAUUUUAAUAUCGCAAACUAUUUCUCUUAUUAACUUAAAAUCAUCCAUUCUACAAAUUUUACUUUAAAGUACAAGCAUGCUUAAUACAAGAACUUAACAAAGAAAUUCUAAACACAUUCACAACAUUCAACCUUCAACCUUCAACAGCCUAGCUUGCUCACCUUCUUUAACCCAAACUUGGCCUCAACACCUAAAUCUUAGGGAAGGGGAAGCUUAGAACAUAAGGUCAAUGACUUAGUGAGUGAUAUAUUUGAAAAUAUUUUUGGGAAAAUAUAAUACAAUCACAUAAAUAUAGUUUUCGUUUCACAAACGCAGAUUCAAUGCCUCAAACCAAUAAACAUAAAUCACAUAAACACACAUUAGUUUUUCACUAUUCCUUUCGCCAAGAACAUGAAUCAUCCUCAUGCGUAGAAUACUAUGAGGUCUCUUUCAUCAUCAACAUCCUUGAGAAUUUUCUAGUUCAUUUCUUGUUGUUCGGGCCGCUAAGCUCAAUACACUCCUUUUAUGUAUUGACAAACUUCACUCCAACAUGCAAUUCUUUUCACCUGGUUGUCUUUACUUCUUAUGUGCACAUAAUAGCUAGAUCAUUUAUAGGAAUAUGACUAAUGGUUUACUCUUAAUCAAAGCAUACAAUACAAUCAAUAAAACAUGAACUUUAACUCUAAAACAUAAUACUAAAACUUUUUUCAUAAAACAUGCUUUACAGAAAUUGAUUCUCAACAUAAAUAUGUAAAAAACGAGAGCGUGCUUUCCGUUAUCCAAAAUAUAACAUGUUUCAAUACUAAAGAAAAAACUUUGAAAAACUUUUUUUUUCUUUGAAAAUCCACUCACAGAAUUAAUUAUUUUUUCCAUUAGGUAGAUCUAUUAAUUCUUUUUUCCUUUAGGUAGAUCUCUCAAUCCUCUUUUUGCUUAGAACUCCUUGAAACCUCAAAAGCUUCUUGUCAGCAAGCUUCUUUCUUCUACAGUAGAGUAAUUCUAAUGAUUUCGUUUGCUUAAUCCUUCUUCUAUCGUCCUUUCUCCCUUAUUUAAUUUAAUUUCCAAAAUAGCUUAGUCAUCCUUAAGUUCUUAAAACUUGUCACCUCCUGCUUCUUACAAUUUUAAGUCCUUUGCAUGUUUAAACAUUUGGAUUUCAACUCUAUCGAACAUUUAACUCUUAAUGAUCCUGAGCGGAAGUGGCUUGAGAUCACCUCGAGACCUUCCACUUUUCCCUUUUACCUUCAAUUUCUGUCGAACUCGUGUUCGAGAUUGUUCGAGAUCUUCUUAUACUUGCUUCUCCACCCCAAAUUGCAAUGAACAAGCACUGAGAUUGCCUCGAGAUGAACCUUCUAUCUUCAAUUACUUUUCUACUUCCAGUCCCAUCUAAGUAAUACACGAGAUGGCUCGAGACCCAACUCUAAAACCCUUCUAUUUUUUACCUUGGUAGUACUGCACCUAGAUGCCCUCAUUAUAGCACUAGAAUUUGCUCUCUACUUUCUAUCUUGCUCGUGAUCACUCAAGGUUGUCUUGAGAUUUCAUUUCUCUUUUAGGCUCGGGUCCCACACCAACUAUGAAAAUAAGGGUUUGAAAUUGGUUUAAACCCUUAUUUUGUAAAUCUCAAACCCUUAUUUCCAUGAUUCACUUUGGCAACGGCGCAACUACUUAUAUUGGUUUUAAAUUGAAAAAUCAUGUUUCAAUUCUUAUAUUGGUUUUAAAAUAUUUAUGUUGUAGGCACUAGGCAAAAUGUCAACAAGCUUGACCAAUAACGAUGGUAACACUAAAACAAACAUAAGGAGCAAAAGCAACAAUUGUUCUAGUGUAAACAAAAUUUGACAAAAUUCCUACACUUCAUAGGAAAAAUCAAGUGUAAAAAAUUGUCUUUUAGUAGUUUUGUUUUAGGGUUUAAGCUCACGUAUAACUUAGCACCUACCACAAUAACAACCUCCAUAUGAUCCGCUUCUAUAUACAGAUAGCACACCCACCAUGAAUUAAGCUAGGCCCAAAGCCAAAUCACAAUCCUCCAUCCAUAUCCUCACCUAGGUUCAGGAUCUCGAAUCUCCAGUCACGACUUCUUUCAACUCUGAAACCCCCUAACAACCAUAGGUAACGCUACGAAAAAAAUUCACAUAGCCUUAGGAAAAUCACAACAUUAUUUCAUAAAAAUCACAUGUUUAAAGUUUAAAACUCAACGUGGUUAGAAACACAUUUUCAAAUCAUUUGCGAUCCUUAGCCAUCAACACAUAUUUUUAUAAUAACAUUUCAUUCAAACCAUCCAAGUUUAAUGACAGAUCAAUGAGUAUUAUUCUAAACCAGUUGUCAUCUAAAACAUGACUAAUAAAUUUAGGUUCAACAAUAAUUUCAAAAUAUAAGAGUUCAUGAAAACCGAAAACCAUAUUUGAAAACAUUUCUAACACUUAGUUUAUAAAACAAUCAUGGUGUACUAUAAUAGCAUAUAUAAAUUUAUAAUAAAAAUACUUGAAAAUAAACCACACAUUAUCAAUGACUCGAUCCACCGGUGAUAUACGCUUUCCCCACUUCAAUUUGGCCUGGAGCAAAGAUUAAAGUCUAUUAGUUAUUUUCACAAAGCAAGACAACACAACAAUCUCCAAAUCACUUCAUAAGGUAAAACUCAAACUAUUUAAUGUGUUUAAAGUCCUUGAAUUCUCAAUUCGCCUUAGACUAGAAUAGACUCUUCGCCUAUGAACCCUUAAACUAGAAAUCUAGAUAAAACUCAACGAGUCUUUUAUGUAAAUACAUUUUUAUCCUCAUUAUUGAUGAUGUUUGGGAUUUAUAUCCAUUAUAUCAACAAGUCAAUUAACCUUAAAUACUUCGUAAGAUUCCCUAAAUCAUUUAUGUUUCAAACAUGUAAAAACAACACCCAACAACCUCCAAAGCUAGAAGAAAGUCUCCUCUUGACCUCUAACAUUCAACUUUAGGACCCAAGUAAUAUGAGUAAUUUAAUCUUAACAAUUAAAAUCAAUGGGCAUUUAAGAACUCGAAGAAAACUCACUUAAAUUACUCCAACACUUACCAAGCACUUAGCAAAGUACCAUUAACUUCAAUGAAAAACCCUCUAACGACCUUCAACUAUCGAAUCCUAACAUCCAAAAACCAUGGGUACUCAAGACCCGCUAAAUAAAGCUUAGAAUCUUACCCAAGUGGUGCGAAAAUGCCCAAUUCCAAGCUUCCUCAAGGCUAGACAGCGACUCAAACUCUUCUAAAACCCAAACCUAGCAUCAAAAUUAUGGGUAUUAUGAAAAUUAAGUCAAAACUUUAUGGGUAGCCAAAACUCUUCAAGAAAUCCAACUAAAAAAAAUACCUCAAAUCCACAAUAGCUCCAACAAAAGAGAUCAAGCUUCAUAGGCAACCAAUCACAACACAUAAUAGGGCUCAAUGUCGAGCUCAACUAUCAAUGGUAAAAAAUCCAAACAACGAUGAAGAAGGUGCAAUGGCUCGAUGCUCGGAGAUCUGGCACAACUGAAUGACAUGAGUUUGAUGGUGCGAUGCACGGUGGUUGAAGUCAACGAGUUGAGUGGAGCAGGUUGGUCAAGUACAAAAUAAAGAGGAGUCAUAUGACUAGAGCUUUGACUGGCGAAGAUUGGUUGUUCGGGGAAGAGAUGCAUCACGCAUAGUAGAUUUUGUGAGGGGACACGUGCGUGGAGAAAGAGGGGAAGACGAAUCCAGAAUUCCACUUUUUUCUUGUAAAGAAAAACAUAAAAUAAUUUUUAUGCCCUCAACUCAAAACCAAACUUCAACUUGACCAUUUUCUUAGUUUUAAUUUUCAAAUCAUUACCAAAAUAAAAUUGAUUAUAAAAUUUUCUCAAAAAAAGAUAUAACCCAUAAAGAAUUUACACUUGGAUUUUAAACUUGUUUUUUAUAACUUAGAGAAUAUUGAUAUACAUAAAAGGAGAAUGGAAUGAGGGCUUACAUGCUAGGGCAUAUCUCAUACUUUUUUGCUCGAGUUGAAGGACAAAGUGUUUUUUAGAUAGAACUCACGCCAACUCGGGAAAGUUUCCAAGCAAGACUAGAAAUAGAGAAUGAUAUAUAAGGGUUCUCAGGAAACCUCGAGGUCGAGUCCGACCGAGAUUAAGAGAGAUAUCAAAUGGUUAUCGGGGCUAUAUCGGACUGUGUUUCGAGACUAGAGAUAAAGGAGUUCUUUUAAAGGUUUCUUGAAGUGAUCUUGGGCCAAUUACAGUUGAUUGCAUUGAAAAAUAAGAGUUCGAUGGAGUGAUCUUGCUCAUUUAACAACAUUAAGAAGUAUAAGUAUUAAAUGGCAAGACAUCUCUCGAUGUCGUGUGGACUGCACCGAAAGUUUAAAAUUGUCGAUGUCAUCCAUACGAUGUUGGGAGAUGUCUAAGAUCUCCGGACACUGCAUGUUGUGUGUCGGGAGAUUCUCUUCAGACACGUUUCUUUCGACCUCAACUCCAACGAGCGUUUAUGCGUCAAGAGAUCCUUUUUCGUAUAACUCUCGACGCUUUUUCAUAUAAUUUCUUACGCUUUUGUGCAUUGGGAGAUUCCAUUUUUCUUGUAGUGACUUUUGGUUCCUAAAUUUUUAUAGAAGUAACAAUUUAGUCCUUAAAGGGGCAUUUGGAGCAAAAUCUAUGAAAGACUAGAAUAACCCCUUCUUGCUACAAUAAAUAUUAUUUAGAAAUCCUCAAUUAGGCUAUAUACAGUAAAACACUAUUUCAAAAUUUCCAAUUUACUAUGUUUUUUUCUUUUUACACAAGUCAGGUUGGAUCGAGUUAAAGAUAAAUUAUGGACCAAUCCAAAGUCAUCACAAAAAAUUGAACCCUAUUAGUUCAAUAUGCAAGGGUCAACCCAAUCCAACCAAACCCAUAAUUUACAGGUUGAGUCGAUUAUGUCACUAGGUUGGUUUUUUUUUUUAUAAUUUAGACUAUUUUAUCAUUCUUUCCUUUUUUACAUUAAAAGUUGAAUUUUUACAUUGAACAAAAUAUCAUAAAUGACCUAAAUAUGUUACAUCAAUUUUUUAAAAAAUUAUAAUCAAACAAACAAGUAAAUUUCAAGUGUUUACCCUUAAAUACAUAAAAACACUUUAAACCUAAGUUUAUGUAAAAUUCAAGUCUCCAUUCAAAUUCAUUCAAAAUAUAAAUAAAAAGUAUUUAAAAACAAUUACAUGCAAAGUUUAAGUCUACAUUCAAAUCCAUUUAAUAUAUAAUAAUAAUAAAUUUGGAUUGGGUUAGGUUGACUAUGUUACUAAAUCCUAUAACUCAACCCAAUUCGAAAUUUUUAGAAAAAAAAAUUUCAACCCAAUCCAACACUUACAGUUUGGGUUGGGUAAUUCGACUUGGUCGAAUUACCUCGUUUUUUUAACGAUCCAACUUUUUUCGUUACGGUUUUUACUAUUUUAUAUUUAUCAUUUUUUUUUCGUUCACUGUUUACUAUUUUCUUCUCAAACUAAAAUAAUUUACUACUCAAGCAGAUCAUGUUAUAACUCAAUUAUAAUAACUAAGACUAUAAUAACCCACUUAUUGGCUCCAAACAUCCUUUAAAUCUUAAUAUAAAUAACAAUUUAUUCCCUACACUUUGAAAUUUAUAAGAAUUUAGUUCUUAUCAUAAAAAAAAAAUCUUUUUUCAAAAUUAAGUGUAAACUUUUAUUAUGUAACAACUUAAUCUUUAUAGUUUAACCCAAACAACGGUAACAAACUUAACUGCUUCCCAAUUGGUUGGUUGAUCGUCUCACAAACAAAAAUUGAUUCAAUAUUGAUAAUAUCAUUUAUAACGAAAACUAAAUUAUCACAAUCAUAAAAUAUAUAUAGAUUAAAUUGUUAGCUAUAAACUUAAAAGAGGUAAAGUCUAUCAAAAUUGAUACCUAUAGAAGUGUGUUAUUAAUACAAUCUAACAUUUUAUUAUAUUCGGUAAAUAUUGUAUUUUUUCUUACUUCCUAAUAAUUAUUUAAAAAUUCAACUAAUAAUAAUUUUGAUAUUGUUGUGAUCAGUUAAUUCCGAGCUGUCAGAAACAGGUCUGACAACGUCAGAUGCAUAGGAAAAAAAAUUGAAGUCAGGUUUCCCGAAAAGCAAAGCUAAUGCGUGAGAGAAACCAAUAAGUUAAAAUAAGUUUGUAAUAAAAAGAAGAACAAAUUAGUCUCUCACUGCCUUCCUCAAUUCUCCAAUUCCACUUGUUUCAUGCAUCAAACUUUGAAUAGUAAAAAGUUGCGUAAUACAAAAUUUAGACCCCAUGUUUAUCUCCGGUAAACAUUAAUAAAUUAGUAUGUACUCCCCUUCCUAUUUUGCUUCCAAUAUAUUGAAUGCCCAUUAUGAUAUGUCCAUAUUUUCUAAACUCAAAUUUAGCAGGUUUAAGUAUGGUAAGCAUAAAUCUUCCAUAAAUUUGGAUAUUCUUUGUUUGAACCUUUGCAAUUUUUGUUUGAAAGUAGAUGGAAACCAAGAUUUUCUCUUUUUGAGACAUUUUUAAACAUGUUAGACUUGGUUAGUUUCAACUUUAGUGCUCUACCCAAAAACAAGAAUUUUGAAUCCCUUCUCUUCAACCCCACUUCUACGACUUAAAAUCGAAAAGAAAGCACAUACAAACAAAAGUAUCUCCUUUCGUAUAUUAUUUUAUUUAAUGGUUUAAGAAAAAAUAUACUAUUUUCAUCGUUCUAAUUUAGAAAGAAAGAUAGGUUAUCUAGUAAUAUGUUUACCAUAUAUUUUGAAAAUAUAUCAACAUAUUAUAUGUUCUUUAUAUGAAAAUGCAGUGAGUCCUAUCUUGUUCGUACUCAAACUUCAAACUCAUAUGACCAAGUCUCAUAUGUCAUAACUUAAUCAUAUUUUCGUAAACGAUAGAUGAUGCAACAAAAGUAUAACAUAUUAUUGUGGAACCUAAUAGAAAGUUUAAUGUUCCACGUUUUGGUAUCUCUUAGAGCCACCUUAAAACCCUUGUAAACAUGCAUAGCACCAUCUUUAUCUUUGAAACUGGAACCCUUAUGAUCGAGCACAUUAAAAGAUAUUAGGCUCUACAUCAUUAGUGGAAUAUGUCUAACCUUGUUUAAAUUGUAAAAGACACACCAUCAUAUGUUUUCAUCUGAAUGAAAAAAUUUUACCUAUCAUGUACAUAUUACCGUUAGCAAUACUAACAUUCCCUUUGUCAAUUUGUUAAUACAUUCAAAUUCACUUUUUGUUCAUACACAUAUGGUAAGAUGCCUCAAUUAAAUUCAAGAACCCACAUGUUAUCAUAAUGUGAAUGUUCAAUCACAACUGAGGCUACAUCUCUUUUAGAAUCAACCUCAACUUCUUACGGACGAUCUAUCUCAACUUCUUUAGAGUCAAUCCACAUGUUUUACUAACGCAUUUUUCUCUUAGGACUUUUGUUAUUCCAAUGGUCUUUUUCUCCAGUAACGGCAAAUAUCACUAGACUUGAACCUUUGAACUUCAAAUAUUUAUGGUUUUAGUUCGAAUUUUGCUUUCUAAGAUUUCCAUGUCCCUUGCUCCAUGUGGUAGCUAACUCAGGCCUUUAAUUUUUUAUACUAGAACUAGUUGCAUUCAGACAAGAGUCUCUAGUAAGCAAAGUGGACUUUCCUUCUUCUAAAGUUAGAGUUUCUUUUCCUUCACUAUAAGAGUCAUCAAAUUCUCAUAUGAUAAGAUCUUUACAGAAGAACAAUAUUUAUAUGUACAUAUCACAAAAGAACAAUAUUAAUACUAUUGUAACAAAAGUUUAAAUAUAACUACUCUCUAACUCCCAAAGUCAACCGUUCUCGAAGAUUGAAGCUCCUUUAAAGAUACAAGUUUUCUUCCAAAACUUCAACUUUAAAAACAUCACAUGCUACGCUUCCUCCAAAUCAAGUGUAGGUGUUCAACCGAGAAAAAAUCAAAUUAUCAAAUUAUAGAGAUCGAACCACUUCGCAUCAAAUCAACGCAAGCACAACAUCAACACAAAUCCAACUCCACGAACAAAAUUUCUCCAAAAAUCUCGUAUGAACACUGAUGAACAUUCAUUAACUAUGGGACACUUCACUAAAGACUCAUAGUUGCACUCUUAUAAACUUUAGAGUAUUUACAUGUUCACUAACUCAUGUCGUUUUUUUAUAAGCCAAUUCUUUACAAAUUGUUUGUAACUAUAGCUAUGUCAAAUUUUCAUUAUACUCUUGUAGUUAAUAUUGCUUCUUGAGUACCAUUGUCCUACCAUAAACAAAGUUCUUCUCAAGUCAACGAGAGGAUGAGAGUUCAUUGUUCAAACCUCGAAAUCAACACUUAAAAGAACAACCUUAAAAUUGAGCCCAUGCUCUGUAAGCAAGGAUAUUAAACCCCACAUAAUUUUCAAACACAAUAAAUUGAGCAUCCCCAAUUCCUCAACGAAUUAUUAAACACAAAUAAACAACAAACAUAAUCAAAUGAUGCUAACUUUUAAGAUUAUCAUUCAAGAAUUAUGUUUAACCUAAAAUUAAAUGUGGCCUAAGUUGAUUCCAUCCGUACUCCACAGGGUAGUUUUUUCUUUUUUUUUUGGAUUUUGACUUCACAUAAACAAAAAGGACUUCUAGUCCUUUUUUUCAAAUGUAGUAUGCAUUUAUUAUCCAAAGAAUAUAUUUGGUAUCCAAUUCAUAUUCCGUUAUCAUUAUAUACCUGCAGUCAGAUAGGCAUAUCAACAGAUCUAAUAUGUACAAUAAAACCUUAAACUGCAAUGAAUCUUCAAGAACCAAGGAAUAAAGGUGGUAUACAAGAUUCAAAUUUAAAAUCCUCAAUUGGAGAAUUUCACAUUUGUAUAAUUUUAAUUUUAAUUUUAAUUUGAGUUUCCAUGGUCUAAUACCAAUGAAGAAUAUGAGACAUCAUUGAUAGGGUGAGUUAUCAUUAUCAAAAAUAUAUUUCAAAGUGAUUUAAAACCUAGAGAUAAAAUGAUUUAACUUAACAUUUCAUCUCUGAAGAAAAUGCCCCAUGUUGAACAAAGAACGUCAAUCUCCUAAUGUAUGUAACUAUUCUCCAUUUAACAUGAAUCCUAGAUAAACCAAAGUUUAAAACCUAAAUUGAGUCCUUUAAAAAGGUCAAAAUGUAACACCUUGGUUGUAUGCAAAAAAAAACUAAACAGAAGCAAUUUUACAAUAGUAUUCAUUUACCUAAGAAAAGAACCGUAAACAAAACGACGUUAUUUCUUUCUUCGAACAACGUGGGAUGGCACUUUGCCAACCAUGGCUUCGAAUGUGGCUCUUAGCUUAGAUUAAGCUUAGAUAAUUGUUUUAGCAAAAAAGGCAGCAUGUGAAUAUCUUCCUACACAAGCAAAUUUCAGACAGAAGCAUACGUGAUAAACAGAAUUCUCAAAUCUCAUGCACAACGAUAGAAAAAGAGAAACCAGAACAGUACAUUAGUAACCAACAAACACGUCUGACGCAUUUCACAAAUUAUUUUCGACUCGACAUCGACAACAAUUAAAACUAGGAAGGUUCCUAAAGAUUCCAGCUCAGUCAUAACAAAAUAGUGCAUAAUAAGCAACCCCCCUCUUUCACAACUGAGAGCAAAGGGGUUGAUUUCAUAUUCAAAGAGUGUAGUCAUUCAAACCAAACAUAUGAAGAUUUUGAAACCCACACCAUCAUCCAGCAGUUCAGGUAAUGUAGACUCAUUCCUACCCGCAUAGAAUACGCCAAAAAGUCUUCAGAGACAGAACUUGCCAAGCAGCACAACAAUAUCAUCACCUGCCUUCGGAUGAUAGUAAAAGCAAUUUCGACAGCUAGACUCGACAGUUAAGUAGAUUACUGAGUACACCAUCUUAUCCCACCAAUCAAUCCCUUCAGAUAAAACCCCGAUGAACUUAAGAAGACCUUCUAACCACCAAAACCAACCUGACAAGGCAAUUUACUUCCAUACGAACAGCUCAUCGAACAACGUUCCCAAUUUUCUCUUCCUCCUUUUACUGGAGAGCUCGGCCAUUUUGCUACAAAAAAGACAACAGAGAACGUGUAGAAGAAAAUCAUCUUACACCUAACCAUCCAUGUUUAGGUAUACACACAAAAUCAGAAAAGAAACACUGACAAUCAAAAUAGACAACUUACACGAAUGUAUCAGUCCUUACACAAUUUAAUUUAAAGAACGAAGAUUUCAUUGAAAGAAAAUAUAAGGUCAUGCAUCAAAAAAUGAAUAAAUUUAAAUAUAAAUAUAAAUAAUAAUAAUAAUAGAUUUAAAGUGAUGUAACUAAUGUAUGUACCGAUCCAACAAAAUCUUGUUUACAUUUCUAAAAAUGUCAUGAUAACAACUAAUUAUCAUAAUUUCAACUGUUCAGAAAAAACAAGAAAAGACUUUUAAACACAAAAUUCGAAACUCAUGAAUGACUGUAAUUUAACAUAACUAUAAAGUUGCUCUUUCAAUAGCUUGUAAAUCCCUCUGUUUACAUUAAUUGUUCAAGUCUAAAAUUAAAGAAAGCUUGGAUGCAUUUCAAAAUACACAUAUGCGCUUAACUUCAAUAAAAGAAGUUCAUAAGUUUAGAUUAAAUUAAACAAAAUCUUGUUUACAUAAAGACCUAGAAAUUGAAGCCCACAAAGAGGAAUUAAACCGCAGCUCCCAAAUCUAAUCACUCAACCUCCCAUCUCUCUAGAAAUCCUAUUAUUUCUCUCAAGCCAAAAGAAUUUGCUGGUACAAAUAAGACUUGCAAAUGUUUUUUCAAUUAGCAUCCACCACCCCAUACUGGAAAGGAUGCAAGUUAUCAAACACUGAUACACACAAAAUUCAUCUAAGCCUGAAAAAGAUUACUCUAAAGGUGCACGAGGUCUUAUCAAGUUCCUAACUUAUCAUCGGACGACAGUACUUUUCAAGGCAGCAAAGUGAAUAACUAGUGUCAUUAUUAUUUAUUUAUUUUAGUUCUUUCCUUCGAACAAAUAAAAACUAAUGGGAAGAGAGAGAAACAAGAAUGCAGAACCAAUUAGCCUAAGCAGAACUAAAACAUACUUGAAAUUGAUCAGAGACUUCUUUACUGAAAAAAAGGAAGUGAGAAAGCAAUUCAAAACGUAUAGCAACAAGAAAAUGGAAGAUAUGGGAAGAGAAUUACCUGUAUGGUUGCAAGUGCCUGCUCAAAUCCAAGGCCAGAAAUGCUCCAAUAAAUUCUUCAAGAAGCAGCAAAGGUGGAGUUCAAUUUGGCACCAGGAUGUGGUACAAUCACCAUUAUCAUUCCCAAGGACCUCAAGAAUCAAGGAAAUAAGUUAAGACAAGACUAUGAUCCUUUCCAUAAACUUGUCAAUAUCACCACAGUUAAGCAAUCAGUGUAGAUAACUGACAUACCAUCUAUACUCUCAUACUGACAUCACAUGAAGUAACGACCUGUCCAUAUAGACUGCCCUGGAUAUUGCUCAGGCAGCGAAUUAAAGUGUUGGUUACCACCAUUCACAAGCUGUUGAUGAGGCUGCAAAUGUUGUUCAUUGUGUUGUCUUAGCUGCUCAAGCACCUGAAAAUCAGGCCAGCCUUUCUGUUUUCCUAUUGGAGACUGCACGUUUGGAACUUGUUUUCCAGGAAAAGGGAAGUUGAUUGUUGCACUCAACAUAUUACUAACACCAAUUUGCUGAGCAUUCAUAUGAGAGGUGAGAUGCACAGCAUUAGCAGAGUCUUUUGUAGAAGAGGGCAGCUGAUAUCCAUCCAACCAGCUAUAAUCAUCCAUCACCUGAUUCUCACUUCUAAACUCUGAACCAGGAAGGGAAUCAUUAGCAUGCUUAGUUGGAACAUGGUUGAAUCCAGGAGGAGGUCCAAGAUGCCUAACUGGUCGACCAACUGGGUUUUUCCUCAACCCUGUUUGAAGGCUAGAAAAUGCACCUGUAGUCAUUGGAUCAAUGAUGCCUCCAAACGAAGCAGGUACAUCAUUCCUAGAUUGUACAAGAGCUCCUACAGGCAUUUUAUCACUGUAAAAAACAUCAUUAUUAACAGCUUGCUUGAUAGGCAUCAAGUGAGCUGCAGGAUUGAACAUGCUUACAUCAUUCUGAAGAUCAGAUUUCAUCCCAUUCCCAUUCUCCAAUAACCUCAAACUUUGCAAGCUGUCAACAAGACAAGCUUCCUGUUCAAGUGGCCAUUUAGAUGCAUUCGCCUGAAUUGUUUGCCAGUGGAGGGUGUUAAUAUUGGCAGCAGUCACAGGUGCCUGAGAACUUGACUCAAAACCAUUUGAUUGGUAAACAUCAUCAGAAGAGGUCAUCACACCACCAUAGGAUCUUAGAUCCCCUCCAGAAGAAUUUCUUCCAAGUAGCAAACCCUCAUAACCAGACCGAUAUGAAUCAGCAAGUUCCAUUCGCUUCUCUGCAACUAAAGGCUUGAAGACAAUUACUUCAUCCUCCUCUUCCCCUUCCAAAACUAGCUGUGAACUUGGCUUACUGACAGCCAAAUUGUUUGUUUUCUCAACUUGAGUUUCUUGAAUUGCACUGCCUGGACUAGGGAUCAUGCUAGAAGACAAUGGAACGACAAAAUCAUUUGGCACUUGAGGUUCAACACCGGUACAAAACAUUUUCACCUUUGAAUUGUAGUAUAUUGGUUCCUGAUCAAUCUUGACUACACUUGCUAAAGCCUUCCCCGCAGCCAGAAUCCUUUUAAUGCGAGCAACCUUCUCUUUGUUGCCAUCACUCCCAGAAUGCUUCCUUGAAAAAUCCAAUAUCGUCUGUGCAGGAAGAAGUGGCAAGAAUCCCCUUAAUUCAAGAUCCUCCCACAAUGCAAGUCGAUUUUCAGUUUCGCCCUCUUCAUAUUUACUGAGGUUAAAAAAGCAUGUGUCAUCCUCAUCAUCAUCUAGAGACACAGAACCACUUGACAAAAGCUUAUUGAAGAAGGAGAUGCAAAGGUUCCAAAACUUUGAUCUAGCAGUUGCCUGUUUAUCAUCCACUUCACUGUUUGCUGCAAUUUCUGGACAACAUGCCAACCAUUCAACAAAAACUAGAAGGCCAGGCAGAAAAAAACUUGACAAAGGAUCACGCAACUGGGAACAUCUAUCUAGAAUAGAGCCCAUCAAUUCGAAGACUGCAAGAUGUGCAUUCUGGAUCAACACAGCCCGUUGUACAAUUUCUGAAUAUGUCUGUCCUUCAGUUUCUUUAUUCACAUUGUGAACAGUGAAUAUAAGAAUUGCAACAAUUCUAACUAUAAUGAGACUGUUCUCAGCAGUAUCUGUUCCAAAAAGCAGUUCCUCUUCAGGUCCACAAGCCAAAAGUUCAGAGAAAUUACUGAUAACCAAUGAGAGAACCUCUGUAAAGGUCUCUAGGCUGGAUGAGAAGAAAAAUAAGAUUCAUAUAUAUGCUGGGCCCAGAGAAAAAAGGAAGAAAAUGUGGGGGAGGGAGGGAAACAAGUAAAUAGUCAAAGUAAUUACCUUGUGCGUGUGAAAAGAAUUCCAUUUAGACGAACAAAUCUAAUGCAAAAGGAUUUAAAAAGAUCUUGUGGAGAUAACACACUCUCCUUUGGGGGUUCAGUGCUAGAAUCUUUGGUUGCAAGCUUUACUUCUCCCUUCCGUCCUUUUCCACUAAAUCGAAGAGGUGAUUCCUUCUUUGGAGGAGUUUUAGCAAUCCCUGACAGCUGGGAAUGGCUAUGACGAUUCUGCAAAAAAAAAAUAGGAAACAACCAAUAGCUCUGUUAGUUCAGCAUCAACAUUGAACUAAAUGUCCAGGACCAGUAAUAGAAGAACUUGGCUGACAAACAUCUAAACUGCUGUCUGCAUCAAAGUGAUGUAAAUUGUCUUUUAUAAAAAAAAGCAAAAAUAAAUAAAUAAACAAUUGGUUUUUUAUUGGAAACAUGGGUGUUUCAUCAAUAUGAUGAAAUUACAUUACAAAAAGGGAGAGAGAGAGGGUCCAAUCCAAUGGAAUAGCACCUUAAACCAUCAAUGAAGUCAAUACAGUAAUUUCCAAGGCAAAUACAAAAAGCUGGAAACAUGGUACCAAGACAUGUUGGUUGCAAAAGUUCAGAAGCAGAAAGAGUCAUCAAGUAAUUAAACAACACACAUAAUCAUAACAGGUUACUAAUUCAACUUGAGCACUCGGCCUUGAGUUUCAAAUAAUGCAAUAUGAUAUCUAGUAGCUCAGCAUUUUAAAAAUAAUAUCUAUGCCAUGAGCAUGAGAGUCAAAAAGAAAAUACAAAAGAUAGACUGCAGUAUGCGUCGUAAUAAUGGAAAAUACCUUCUCAAACGCAACAAUCAAAUUAUCUCUGGCAGUAGAAAAUGGGGAAUCAACAGCCAAACUACGAAAAUAUCGAUAAACAGCAACCAACUCAUCUCCUGAGUACGAAGCUAAUAUUGCAAGCUGAAAGAUGGAAACACCUCAAACAUAAGUGAGAAGUUCAAAAUGAAGGUGAGAAGCAUAUAAUGUGAGGGCAAAAGCUAAAAAACAAUAAUAAAGAAAUCAAAAUAAGGGAUUAAUAUUCAAAAUCAAUAGACCUGAUGAUGAGGAUUGCCACUUGAUGGCCAAAGUGAUGCUGCUUGCAGGUAGUAACUUGAAGCUGCAGUAUACUCCCGAUUCUUUGAAUCAACAUCCCCGUAUGACCCUUUGUAGCGUGCAAGAUCACCCAAGUAUAUCAAACAACGAUGACAAGAAAUGAGACCUUUCUUCAUGUCAGCAGACUUCUUUCCAUCUUUAUCUGUAGCCAUACGGUUGUCUGCAUCCUCCGAGAAGAAACCCAAAGGGAGCCCAUACUUUGCUCUGAUUUUCAAUAUUAAAUCAUGGUAAAAUCCAGUAGCUUCAGAAAGAAAUGUUUUGAACUGCAAUCUUAUUUUUGAAAUUCUGUCAGGCCUUGUAGGCACGCCUUGAGCAUUGUUAGAACCAGCAGUCAAAUGUCCCCUAAGCUCCUCAAUUCGCUUGUAAUGCAACUGCCAGAGAGCAUAUUCAAUAUUGUGCUGUUCAGAAAAAGCAUAAUCCUCAAGGAUUAUUGCUUCAUAAUUUUCACGUAUUUGUUGCCAUGCAUUGGGAUCUGACGGAAUUCGAGCCUGAGCUGACCUUCUACGUCGAUUUUCCAAUUCAAUAUUCUGAAAAGAGAUAAAAACUAAAACUAUUUAAAAUUUUAAAAACACACAUAAGACAUAACCUACAAGAGAUCCAUCGCAUCCAGAUAUCUUAUAGACACAAAACUCAUCUCAUUCUGGUCUCCACACUAAUAAAAGUGUGUUUUACUGCUUAUAAUGGUUAAAUCAUUAUCCACGUUUUAUACCAACAAAAUUAUAUAUUAGAAGCAAAAAAAAACAGUUGUGAAAGAAGAGCAAAAGAAAGAAAACAAAACUACCUUUUCAUAAAGGCGUUGAGCACGCUCCCACGAUGAAGAAGCGGAAGCAGACAUUUUAGCCAUCUAUAUAUUUAUCUUCCAUCAAUUAUAUUCAGAUUCUUCAUACCACAUACAUCUGCAGGACAUUCUUAACCCAUCAGCAUGUUGAACAACAGAAGUGCAUAGAAAGUAAAAUAGUGAAAGAAAAGCAUAAAGCCAUCUAAUGGAAUUGUAUGCUUUGUAAAAAAAAAAAACAAUAGUCCCUCACUAUAAACAAAAGAUAUACUUAAACCUAAUGCUUUUAAAGAAGAAAAAAAAUCUUAAAACUAAUACUAUUAUCCAUCCUUGGCUAUUACAUACUGGCACAAAGAAUUCAAAAAGGACCACUUUCAAAGUGAACUCAACGAAUGCUUUUAGGAUCAAUCAAGCAAAAAAACUGGAAAUAUCUAAAAAUAAAUCAGAAUAUGAUGAAGUCAAAAAAUUGCAAAGAAAGAUCCCAAAUACAAUUUCAUAUCAGAUGAAAUCAAAUAUAAAAAUGGCCAAAUCAAUAGUGCAUGCAUUAAAAAUAACAUGAAGAUAAGGAGGCUAGCAAUCAACACAAGUAAAUAAUUUAGAAUUCUGUCACCUCAAAUCACAUUUAGUAACUUCGUGGGAAUUACCCAAUGAUCAGAAUACAAUUUCAAACUCAGAAUCAGACAUAUGAUAUAUGUUUUCCUUCAUCCAUUGCUAAGCGGGAAGAUGACAUGUUCUCUGCUGUCCAGCCUAAAAUAUUUUAAGCUUGACGGUGGGAGAAAACCCUCAAGAUGCAUAACUGCAUCAACCUAAUUAACCUAAAUAUGGCCACUCGGCCUGUACCAACAAUUCCUGUAUAAAUUUCCAAAAUCCAUCAAAUCAUUCCUCAAAGAGAAAUUCGCGGCUCAACAUGUAAUGAUCACUAUACUUGAAAAUUCAUUCAUAUUUAAGAAAAACCUAGUAAGAAUCUUGAAAUUAUGUUGCUAAGAGAUCCAAAUAAUAUACAAUAAAAAAAAAAAAAAAACCAAUCCAAUCAAAUGCACAAAAUAGACAGUUGAAUCGAAAAUAAGAUUCAAAACCCACCCAAAAUAAAAUUGGUCUAAACCCUAAGAGACCCAAAUAAUAUCCAAUUCACAUUCACCAGAACGAAAAAAAAUAACCAAUAGAUAGUCGUCUACACCAAAAAGAAAUUCAUAAUCCCCAAAGAAACCCAAUUAACAAUACGUAAAAUCACACCGUGGUUGACCUACAAAAUUCCAGCUUGACUUAAUUCCAAGACUCCAAAAGAAGAAAAAGAGGAAAACCCAGAAAAUAAUCAUCAAAUCCUAUCUAGAAAACAUCGACAGAACAAUUAAAAAAAAGGGUGGGUCAAACAAAACAAAGAGAGUAGAGAAAUGAAAUGAGAAAAAAAGAAGAAACCCAGAUCUAGAAACCCGGAAAGAAUUUAGAAUGAAUCAGCCGGAAAACCCAAAGAAAAGAAAAGAGACGGAAAUCAAGAAAAAGAGCAAUGAGAAGAAAUAGAAAAGUACCUGAGGAGAGCGAUCGGAUGGAGGAUCAAACUGGGAUUGAAGAAAGAGGAGGAGGAGGAGGAAGAAGAAGAAGAAGAAGAAGAAGAAGAGGGUUGGGAUUUACGAUUUAGGGUUGGGAAGAAGAGGAGAAAAAGGGGUGGGUUCGAAGAGGAUGAGAUUGGGUUUCGUUUGGUUUUGAUUUAGGAGAGAUUUUACCAAUUUCUUUCCCCCUUCUUCCUUUUUUUUUUUUUUUUUUUUCUCUCUCUCUCUCUCUCUGUUUUCGUUUCUUUUCUUUUUCAAUGUGUUUUCGUCCUUUUCUUUGUUUCCUUAUUCUAAUUCCACCAAACCAAACGACGCCGUUUGCUACCAAUCUUUUCGUUCUCUUUUGAGAAACAAAUAAACAAACAUAAUUUUAGUUCUUCUCUUCCUCUUCCUCUUCCCUUCCCCUACACCAUCGUGGUUUCAUCAACUCUCAAACAAACAAAAUUUAGUUUAUUAAAAAAAUAUGUAUAUAUAUCACGAGGACAGCACGUGCUUCCUUUUUGAGUUUAUUUGAAUGUUUAUAAACCAAGUGAGGGAGUGAGGCUUUAAAUCUUAUCCAAAGUUUAAAUAAAUGUAUGACGUUCUAUUAUAUUCUUUAUCUACAUUUUUUGUUUUUUUCUCUCUUACAUCUUCAAAUGAAUUCAAUAUAACCAAAAAAAAAAUAUUAUUCUUUUUUUGGGGUUUAUUUUCUAAAAUAUCAUUUGAAAUUUCUUAACUCUGAAUUUACAUCUCUUCACUAAUUCACUGUAUUUAUUCAAAAUCUAUUCUCAUACACAAAUUCAAAACACUUAUACAUUCCAAAUAUAUAUUUAUUAAAAUUAGUUUUAAGAACUAAUCUUAUUUUGUUUUCACUUUUUUUUAAAAAUGUUGUUUUUUUCUGUUAAAUUUAUUCUUGGUAUUCUUUCCUUUUCCUAAAAAGAAAAGUGUAAUUUCCUGAUUCUACACUAUUGAAAAUAAAUCAUUAAUAAAAAUUUAAUUUUUUGUUAAUUUUUCGAAAAUUUAUAGUCACAAAACACAAUAUUGCAACAAUAUAAGUUUUUUUUCUAGUGAGAAAAAUAUCUUCUUCUUCUUCUUUUGUGUGUAGAGGAUUAUAUAUAUAUGUAACCAACAAAGUUCUAAAUAAUUUCCUUUUUAAAAAAAUAUAAUUCUAAAUUGUCUCUUAAAUAAUAAUAUAUUAGUGUUAUUUGAAUUAUUUAUAGAUAAUUAUAGAAAGUAACUUUAGAAAAAUCAAUUCAUUAAAUAUAUAUAUAUACUUGUAUGUUGAAAAAUCAAUUCAAAAUUGUCCUAUUCAGCAAACAUUUCUUUGUGUUUUAUAAAUGGCAUGGUGGCUUAUUGGAUAUGGAUGGUAUUCAAAAUAUGGUGUGAAUAAAAAAGGAUCCAAGUGGUUUGAAGCUUUUGAGUUUUAAUUUCUUUGGGGAAAAAAAAAGUCAAUUUGUUUCAAAAUCAAUGGGGUUUUCAAAUAUAUCAUAAAGAAAAUGAAAUUAUUGAAUUCUCUAUUAUUCAUUUCUCAUUGAUCUUUGUUGAAUUUUUUGAUUGAGUAUUGUAUUUACAAAUUUUAGAUUUUCUUCAACACAUUUUAUGCUCGACUCUCAAAGAAUAAUUUGCAAAUAACUUUCUAUUGCAAUUUAUUUUGUUUUAUUUAACAAACUUACGAAUCUUUUUUGUUUGUUUAUCAAUUUGUUUUCAAACUUAAUAAUUAUUGGAAUUUUCAAUUUUAUUAAUUUGUCUUUAAGUUUGUUGAGUUUUGUAGAUUUUGAAUUUUCUCUAUCUGUCAUCAAAUCUUUUUUGCAAAAUUAACACAUUUUAGAUGAUUUUUCUUAUGUGUGGUCAAAUUUGUAUUACAAAUUUAGCAAUCUUAGAUUUCAAUAUUUGUGCGCCAAAUUUGUUGUAUAACUUACCAACCUCUUAAAUUUGGAGGAAUCGUUAUGAGUAGUAAAAUAGUGAAAAACUAUUUGAAAGAAAAAUAGAAUAGGCUAAUAGAGUUCAAUGAAUUUUAAUAUAUUUUUUUGCAAAUAGUUUCACUAUUUUGCUAUUUUUUCUGGUGUUUUCUUAAAUUUUUUCUUUUAUUCAUAAAUUUUCUUUACUUGUGAUCAACUUUUUAAAUUUCAAUCUUAAUUUAUCUGUAGGUUGAUGACUUAAGUGCUUAAAGUACGUUUUAUAUACUUAUAUAUACAUCAAAUGAAGCAAUGUAUUGGACUGUUUAUUUCAAACACUUAUUUUUAUUGAUAUUUGUGACACAUUUGCUUAUGUAAUCUCUUGUUGAUUUAGAAGGUCAAAAGGGAAUAUAUUUCUUUUCCUUGUUUUCUUUUUUCUUUUUUCUUGAAAGAAAAAAGGAACUUCUCUUUGAUUUAUGUAAAGCCUUAUAUGUUUGAACAUUAUAAAUUCAAACUAAAAUAUUAAAUAGUAGGAAACUAAUGAGAACUUUCUAGGCACAUAUAGAUUUAAUUUCUAAAAAAUAUUAUAUAUAUAUAUAUAUAUAUAUAUAUAUAUAUAUAUAUAUAUAUAUAUAUAUAUAUAUAUAUAUAAGUGAACUAAUUUUUUUAAAAAAAUUCUGAUGAACAUGUUUUUCUCAAAAAAGAAGAAAAAUGAAAAAACCCUUCUAAACUUCUGAUGAAUAUGAUUUUUUUAACCCUUUUCACAAUUAUAAUUUUACUUUAAACUGCCUAAAAUUGCUUUUCAAACAAAGUCUUUUGAAAGGAACUUUUGUAAUUUUUGAACCAUCACUGUUUUAAUACAACAAUUACAAGUCGUGAGAUCAAACUUCCUACCUUAACAAUAACUAACCACUAACCAUUGAUAUAGUUACUAGCAGUUCAAUUCGAUAUAAGCACAGUUGAAUUAGUCAAAACAUAAUUAACCUCCAAAGGUGUUCAAAUCUUCAAUGAGUUUUGAAUUAAAUUUCUAAAAAUAAAUAAAUAAAUAAAUAAUCGCAGUAUGUCUUAAGUUAAGGCUGUUGACAUUUCAAGGCAUAUUUUAAAAGCUUCCGUCUGUUUUGAAUUUAACAAUUGCACUCCAGAGUCAAACCAUCUAGGCAACCACCAUUGAUAGGAUAAUUGAAUUGAUGUCUUAUUCAUUAAGUUGUGCUCGGUUUGAGUUCACUCAGAAUUGGAAAACUGGAAUAUACAAACUGUAAAGCUUCUUACAGAAUAAUCAGAAAAGUCUCAUAUAUGGAAAAUGGAAGAUUUUCCUUGACAUUCAAAAAGGAAUAAAAAUUCCAAUAUUUGGAACUUAAUAUAUAUUAUAUAUGUUCAAUGACAAAGCCUUAAAACUACUAUUGUUACAACACGACCCACCUUCGCUUAGUCUAAUCCUCAAUAAAAAUCAAAGCAAAACAAGUGAAGUAGAAGAUACAAUAAUAACAAAACCAACCAAAGUCCUCAUUGGAGAAGGAAAAAGAAGAAAGAAAGAGGCGAAAAGAAAAAUAAGGAAGAAAUGAAAUUAAAGAUGGCAUCCCCAUGAAAGACCAAACUUAAAUAUUAGAAAAGCACACACAAUGGACCUGCUUACAAUAUAGGUGUAGGAGGAGGAUAUACAACAAAUGGAUGAUUGGAACUAAUUAUGGAUAUAGAGAGACUUGCAUGUGCCCAGCUUUGUUUGUUAUUUCCAUGGCGGAGAUGGCGGUUGUUUAUAGAUGAAGUCUUGUGAGGAUGAUGCACCAUAAUUUAAAUCGAGAUUAUGGAGCUGCUCCAUCAACUGAGAACGUCUCUCCUUGAAGAAAUCCAGCCGUGUCGUUAAUUCUACUAAUGUUGAGGAAGGCACUGUUGAAUGUCUUGUGUAAUCCAAAACCUGGAAACAAAGAUUAAAUUUCAAUGUAGAAAAUUUUCCAGAUCUAAGACAUCUAGAUUCAGCUUUUAAGCAACGGUCGUGUUGGGACGAGAGGACGAGAGGACGAGACAACAGAUGUAUUUACCUCUCCUGCUUUUGAAGUAGAAGGCAAAGACGCAGAAUCGACAGCAAGUUCAUCCACAGACAUGCUAGUUGAAACCUCGGUGCUUUUUGAGUCACUUGGGCUUAAUGAAUCCACAAAUAGCUUCCGUGGAGUUGGUUUACUACUAUUGGCAGAACCUAAUACUUGUCCUUUCAUAUUUCUCCAAUCACUUCCCAUCAAACCUUCCUGUGUACCAAAAAUAGAAACAGAUUUCAGUUUAAUUUAUAAGACGAAGAAUGCUAAGGUCAAAUAAAUUGGGAAAUUAAUUGUUAAGACCUUGAUCCGUAACCAUUUGAUUUGUGGUUUUUAGUAUUUAAAAUCAAGACUAUAUGCAUCCCUUCCAUCCUCGUUAUUUACUCUUCACCAAUGAUUUAAAAACAAAGCCCAAGUUUUGAAAACAAGAAAGGUACUUUCAAAAACCUGUUUUUGUGUUUGGAAUUUUGUUAAUAACUCAAUUCUUCCACUUAAAGAAAUAUGUAAACCACAAUAUUUAUUGAGAGAAAAUAGGCCUAAUUUUAAAAAAUAAAAAACCAAAAACCAAAAAUUAAAUUGAUACCAAACAAGGAGUAAGAUCCAAAUGAAUUAAGGCAACAUCAUACUCCAAAGUGGAAGUCAGAAGUAGAAAUACAUCGAAGCUAUUAUCUGCCUAGUUGAUAAAGCUAAACAACCAGCUACCUGAUAGAACUAGGGAAUGGAGAUGAAUUUUAUUCAAUGAAAAUAUCAGUUCAUUACAAGUACACGGGAUUGAUAGAUUAGCAAUCCCUAAACAGAAAGUAAUUGGUAAAGAACAAAGAAAGAAUCACCCUCCCUCACUGCCCUCCUAUCUUUCAAGGAUGUAGACAAAUGAUUAACAAAACUCUCAUAUCCACUCACGGACCUCCCUUUCACUAUUUAAACCUCUCUUCCCUCCAAUUAACUGUGGGUCCCAGCUCUAGCAACCACACUCCCCAUAACGCGUGCGCUCCCCUUAUUUCCUCUUCUACUAUACUGCCAAGUAAUUGGUGGCCUAACGCUACCUUAGUCUACCGACGAGAUGAAAAGAGUAAAUUCGAAAUCUAAAUGCUUUUGUGGUGGGCCGUGGAUACUUAUAUUACCUUGCUGAGUUUCCUUUUGGUCAAAAUGCCCUUUGGUUUUCUUACUUUGGGUUGCAUUCUAUUGCAGUCCAUGUACUUUCAAUUGUCCAAAACUUAGUCUCCAUUUCCAAUAAAUUUAAAUUUUUUCCUCGUACUUCAAUAAAUAUUAUAUUUAGUUCUCAAAUCAAGUAAAGCCCCACUGCAAUCUUUUCUUUCUAAAGUAUUAUCCAAUUGUGUCUUUUUUUUUCUCUUUUCCUUUUUUUUUAAAUCAUUGUUAAUAGUCAUUAAAAGACUAAAAUAAUAUAGAUAACAAAUACACUCGGUACGUGGCUAUGUCAUUGACAUCUAUGGUUCAAAACAAAGGAUGUUCUUUGCGAUUGUUUGUUUUGAUCGUUUUCUCUUGUAUUGGCCGAGAUCAGUUUUGGGCAGUUUGUUUGGAUGUUUUUGUCUUUUAUUAUUUUGCUCUUAGUAUAAUUCUCUUGUACUUUGAGCAUUAGUCUCUUUUUCCAUUAUUAAUAAAGAGGCUUGUCUCCGUAUAAAAAAAAAAGACUAGACAACCAAGUCCAUAAAUGGUUAGGCUUUUUAUCCACUCAUCAAAACAGCAACCCAGCGCAUAAGAGCUAAAUUGUUGAGCAACUAAUUAUGCAGUAGAGCAAGUGUAAACAUCCAAAAAAAAUUAUCCCUUAAAAGGUAAAAUAUAAAUGAAAAUAAAAGAUAAACCGAGUGCAACAACAUGCAGGCAUUGUCUAAGAAACAAUAUAAGAACUUUAUAUAAGAUAAUAGCUUAAUCAUACAAAGAAACGCAAAUGAUGAUAUUCAUUGGCUAACCAAAAAGAAAAAGGGUUUAUUUAACAAUGAAAGACAAUGGACAUGGAAGUAACAUGACAAAAAGAUACCUCAUUCCUUUGUUUCCUUUCAUGAUUAACAAAAGCAAGUGUCGAGUCAAAAUCUUGCUGAAGAAAUCUCCUGCGGGAAGUAAGACUAUUUGAGAGAAACGUAGAAAGCACUUAACUUAGUGACGUUUUAACUUAUUCAACGCUACAAAUUUAUCAAAGGAUUUAAUGUCAAUCAUAGAUAUAUGGUAAGACAAUGGGCUUUCAUUGACAAAGAAACGAAAAAAUGUACAAGGACAUACAAAAAGAUAAAUCCAAAAAGUAUCCUCAACUACUUACGAAAAAGAAUUCCAAACCAAAACAAUAAUGCUAAACCGAUAAUUUCUUGUUCGAAUACAUUAAAUGUCUAACAGAUACACACCCAUAAAGCAACAUUAAAUCUUACCACCUUCCAAGCCUCCUCUAAAGACCUCACCACUUCUCUAAAACCUCCCACAAGAUUCUCCCUUAUCAAGGGAGAGUUCAUCAAGAUCCUCUCAACAAUGAACACCCCUAUUUUGCACGACUCUGAAAAACUGAAGCAGCAACUCCAGAGGGAAUUAACUAACUGAAAUCCUCCUCUACCAUUCCACACGAGAUGAUUGAGAUCCUCCUCUACCAUCUACAAAGGAUACACCACGGUGGAUGCAAAACCAAAGUAGAAUACUGCUAGAUUUGAUUCUCAAUGUUUACUCUCCUAUGACUAAUCUCACAAGACAACUCACCUAACCCUAUAAUAUUGGACAUUAAAGAAACUCGUAGGAUAUUAAAUCCUAGGUAGGUGGCCUGGAUUGAACCCAUGAUCUUUUACUCUUUUAUCAAGAUCAUGCCCCCUAUUUACUACUAAGCCAACCCAUAAAGGUUAUGUUUACUCUCCCUUGUAACUUGUUAGAAAUAAAACGAUCUUAGGGAUUUUAACCUUCCACAAAUGGAACACUAAGUCAGCCAAAUGGGAGAAAGGGAACAAAAUAUGAAAAAAGGUGAUUGGAACCGACGACCUUUGAUGAAUUAGGAUCCCAAGCUCAUAAAUUCCUUCUCAGAGAUAAACCCUCAAAUAAAAAGUAAUAGAAAGAAAACCCACCAUCUCUAUAGACUCUCAAGUAGUGAGAAGACAACAAAAAGACCCAAAUAGAGUGAGAGGGGACGACUAAGAAAGAGGCGAAAAAGAGACAACCAACUGUGAUAGACAAUUGGUGGGUGAGAUAACUUUGACCUCCUAAACUUCAUGAAUAGAAAACAAACUUUCAUUAGUUCUCACUUGUGGAGAAACCAUUGAACAGUUUCUUCCACCUGCCCUUUUGUGAGAAGUGAGCUUUUUCGUGGAAAGUUGGAAUGUGGUAUUUUGUGGGGGUUUUUGGAACGAGAGAAACAAUUUAAUCCUUAAAGGAUAGGAGAGAUCUCCAAAUGAUGUUUUGUUCCUUGUUAGAUUUCAUGUUUCUUUUUGGACUUUAGUUAUGAAGUUAUUUUAUAAAUAAUCAUUAGGUCUUAUUUCUCGUGAUUGGAGCCCAUUCUUGUAUACUUUUCUUUUGUACUCCCUUAAUUUUUUUCUCAAUUUAUUUUAUGAUGAAAUAUUUUUUUAUAAAAAUUACAAUAAUAAUAAUAACACUCUGGUAACAAAGUUAUAUUAUAAAUACUCACUAGGUCUUAUUUCUCAUGAUUGAAGCCCCUUUUUGUAGGCUUUUCUUUGUACUCCUUACAUUUUUCUCAAUCUUUCUCAAUUCAUUUUACGAUGAAAUACUUUUUAAGAACAUAUAAUAAUAACAAUAAUAAUAUCAGGAACUCACAAUUGGGAGCCAUGAUUCUGAACAUGCUGAUAUCGGUCACAUGCAUCAGAUAAAGAACCAUAGUUGUGUUGGCGUUGCUGAUUCAACUGGUGGUGGAGCUCAGCAACUUUCUGCUUUAACCGAGCCACAUCUGCUUCAGCAAGAGCAAUCUCCUCAAGCUCAGCCCUUGUCUUCACAUCAGUAUAAUCAUGCCUCAUGAGAAUGAAUAUGACCAAUGGAGGUGAAAAAAAAAAUUAAAUGCCAAACAUGCAGACAAACCUUCGAAUCCAUGCCCCGUGAAUUAUUAAAUUGUCCAGAAGACAUGCUUAGGCCAACUUCCAGAGCAGCUCUAAGAUCUCUUUCUGCUUGCAAUUGCUCUUGUAAUCUUGAAACCUACAAGGUCAUUCAAACCCAAGAAAUGUAAUUUAAAAAACAAAUAUGCAUUUGUUAGAUACCUAGAUUAGUAUAGGGUUAGGGGUGCGGUGCAAGGGUAAUUGAAUAAGAUAGGAAGUUACUAGUAGUUAUUGUCUAAAGGUGGGUACUAGUAGCUAUUGUGUAAGUAUGGUUACUAGGGUGGUUACAACUUGUUAUAAAUAGAGGGAGGGUAAGUGAGAGGAGGGAGUAUCAGUUAUUUUCGUGUGUAGGCUGUGAAUCCUUGAGAGGAGUACAGAGUGGAUUGUUCUAGCUUUCUUACUGUAUUUUGUGUGUGUAAUUUCCAGAUUGAUAAACUAUCAAUCUGUAACUUCUUUUACCAAAUUGAAUAAAGAACAACUAUAUUAGUGUUCUAUCAGCAUUUUUGUCUACGUUUCCUUGUUAUAUAAAAAAAAAGAAAAUGGUACUAUAUCCACAUAAAUAACUUCCAAGCCCACUCCCAUCACCAAACCAAAUCUCACAUACUAAUAGUCGCAAACAUUUUCUAAAAGUAAUUUGAAAGAACAGUUUUAUAGUAUUAAAUAUAGCUCCUCUCCUAAACUAUACCAAGGAUUUAUUAGAAAAAUAAAGUUCAAGUAACAAGCAUUCGCCACCCUGAAACGUACAUCUUGUUCAAGUGCCAACCGUCGUUCAUGCAAAGCUUGUUUCCUUCUUUCCAAGCUGGCUUGUAAAAUUGCAUUGCCUCUAGCCUACACAAUAUGGAUAUUCAGUAAAUACUCUAAUCAACCACUGGAUCUUUGGAUAACAAAGUUAGAGAGUUUGACUACCUCCUUCGCAAUCCUCUGUUGCAGGUCAUUUUUUGUCAUCUCAAGCCUCUGAAUAGCAAGCCUACAAAAAUAGUUGAAAUUUAUCUUCAGGGAAUAGUUUUAGUUCAUGGUGAAGUAACAUUCAGAAGGUGAGAAGAAAAACCCGUGGAACAAACCAAGAAGUAAAAAUAUUCUAGAAAAAAAUACAAAAAAGAUGCAAUUUGUAGAAAACAAGCCACUUUGGUUAUCUACAGAGUUAGCUUUGCAUUCUUGCAAAAAGUCAAUUAAUGAAACUUUGUGCAGUUAUCGUGAUGAAUGUAGAGGAGAUAUUGUAACCUCAACUGGACCUUCAAUUGCCCAAUUGUAUCUUGGUGUAGACCAAGAGAGAUAUUAACCAAUUCAAAAUUACUCUAACCCAACAGACCAGAAUCCCAACUAAUCAACAUAUAAAUAACGACCAAUCCACUUGAAAAACCUUCAAACAGCGAAACAAAUAAAACAACCAAAUAAAAUAAGAGAUUUGUCAGAAAAUACAAUAAAGUUGUUAAAUAACUAAUAGACCAAAAGGCUUAAGCUGAUGGAUAAAGGUAAAUUUAACAUUCUCCCUCACUUGUGGACUUGAAAUAUGUGAAAGAUCCAACGAGUGGAAAUCAUAAUUGGUAAGGAAAUAGCAUUCUAGAGGUGGUAACACAGGACCUCCUAGACCACGUCCUAGACCACUUGCUUUGAUACCAUAAAGACACGUUUGUUUCUUCUUAUAUUUUAUGCAAAGAUACAACCCUCAGUUUUAAAAGGGGAAAAUCAUAGAAGGAAAAAUGAAUAACAAUAAUUGUUCUUCCAGAUCAUUAGUAGCCAUCUUCUACAAAUCAUGUUUUGCAGCCAUCAUUGAAAGACUCUUUGUCUACACCAUUGUACCGCCGUUGUUUAUUCCAUGUUUGUUUAUAGUUUUUUGGCUUUACAGCACAUGCUGACCAUACUCUAGAAAGACUUUAUUUUGUAUCUUAGGACUAUUUUUGUUUGGAUAUGAUGAUAGCGCUAAGAGGAAGUCAACCUAGUUGAGAUGUCCGGAUGUGUCUAUUGAUCCUAUGGUCUCGUUAUUGCUUAGCUCUUUGUGUAAACCUUUUUAUACUUUGAGCUUAUUAUUUAUCAAUAAAGAGGUUGGUUUCCUUUUCAAGAAAAUAACAAUAAUCAUUCUUUCUCAUCUUGUCAUUUAAUAAUUUUCUGUUUCAUUUUAGCCAAAAGUCCAAAAGGUGAAAAUUACAAAACAAGUCAUACACACCUUUUAACAUGCCAAACCUCAUUCUUCCAUAACAAUAACAUAAUUUAUCCAUCUUCAGUAUGAAGAAAACGUAAAACGUGUGAUGAAUUUAAACAGCCAAUUAACUUCAUCAUAGAACUUAUUUGACGAGCUAAUAUGCAAAAAAAAAUUCAGAUUGAGCUCAUACAGAUCGCAAGACACAAACAGAUUUCAUAUAUGAAGGAAAAAGCCAUUGAAAUCUUACUCUUCUUCUCCAGAAGAAUCUACCGACUCAAUAGAUGGCGUCUUUCUGGCCUGCAUCAAAUAAAAUCAAGAAGAUCAAGUUUUAAUUUAACAAGCAAAGAAAUUUUAACAUUCAGUUCAAACUAUAGCACAACAGUGCCUGUAAUAAUAAUAACACUGGUAAGUAUUAAGGAUCCUUUUUGAUGAGAUUGCCUGCAUCAAUGAUUAAAUAGCACAACAAAUAAUCUUUGUCCUAGCGGUAUUAUUUGCUUCCUUUUUUCCGUUCUUUCUUUUAUAUGAAAAAUCAAGCUUUUAUCAAGAACAAUAAAAGAAUAACAUCUGUUUAUUUGUUUUUCUAACUAUGUGGUUCUAGGUGGGAAGCAGCACCUCAACAAAACCUAAUCAUAUAAGGAUACCGCACAUGUCUCCACAUUAUAUCUCAAAAAACUCGAAGGGAGAUUCUAACCUAAGACCUCAGCAUUUGUAUGUCAAAUCCUUAAAAUCCUCAACCUCCUCAGUAGGUGAGGAAUCUCUCUAUUGUCACAUUCCAUGUGGCAGUUGGCUACUGAUGCGUUCAGGACUCCUUGAGCACAGAAUCUAAUCGUCCUUCCCAAAAGAAGUGAGCAAGGACAUCCAGAAGCAUCAUUUGAACCAAAAAGUUCGUCUUUUUUUCCUUGGACAAUGAUUCAUGAUGGUUCAAAUGCAUGGAUCGUGUAGUAUUGUUGUGGCAAGUGCUUAAAGGGCUCAUUGAGGACUCUCUUCCAGGCCGUUUGUACUUCAUCAAACGGGUAAGAUAUUAGCACCACCUUUUCAUGAGCUUCCCUUGAUGUCAAGCCUAUGGAGAGCCUUUGCUACUUUUACACCUCUUGGCUUUCUAUCGUAGCUUCUUGGAAUCUGGCUUAAAAGAGAUUUGUAAUUCCUUCACUAUGUCUUCUUCCAACUAGAGAGUAGAGAGAUUCUGUUACACACAUUGAAGUUAGGAAGCCUUCCCUACCGUCUGUAUAUUUUCAUCCUUUCAAUGAACAUAGAUCUCCUUCACUAUGUUUUCUUCCAACUAGAAAAAGAGAGAGCUCUGUGAGGGAUUCCUGAAGGAUAGUCUUAGAGACAUAACCGUUUUGUGCAAAUUUCAAAAGCCUGAGGUUGAACCUAUAAAAAUGAAAGAUGGAAGAUACACAUCUUAUUGGUUUGACAACUGGACAGGGGAUGAUGCCCCCUCAGCAAGAGUUUUUCCAAGCUUCUCACCACUGCAGAGUUCAAAAAAGCUUCUAAAACAGCUUUUGUGUCUCGACUACACAAUUGGAGAAGGGUAGAUACAGAAGUACAGAAACCCAUAGGGACAAUAAAACCUACCAAACUACGAGGCUAUUUUAAAGAGGAUACGGAAAGAGUUUGAUUGUUGUUAUAAGUAUAAGCAGAUGGAAAGUGGUAGUUCUCUAAUGACAGACAUUCUAAAAUGUUAGGCCUUCUACUAAUUAUAGUUUUUGUGAUCUAAAGGUUAACUGCAGAAAUUUUUUGUAGCUACUUUGACAGACUUUCCUCUUUUGCAAUUUAUAUAUAUAUACAAAUAUUAUACAUACAUACAUACACACACACACACACACAUAUACUAGAUUCACUUCCAGUUCUAGUUUAAUAUUCUUCAACUGAAAAAAAGAAAACUUACACUGCUCCUUCCCCAGAAAGUUGAUCUCUUAGCAUUAAUAUUAGAGCUUGAAACUUUACCAACUGGCUUCCCAGAACUUGACUCAUUUCCAGGAUCCAUUGAAUUUAAAAUUUCUCCCAUUGAUCGGUAAGAUUCGCCAGCAAGUGAGAUAUUCGGAGUUUCCACCUCAGUCAAAGAAUUUGCAUUUCCUUUCUUUUGUUUGGUUAGGUCCCCAAUCGGUUGAACAUUGGUCUCAGAGUUCUUAUGAUGAUCAAGACACGAAUUUGAACUCUGAGCUAAAUCAUGAUUCUCUCUUGGGGAUCCAACAUCCGAAUCAUCUCCUCCAAAAGCCUGUUCAUGCACAGAAAUUAGAGCAUGUUAAUUAGCAUUUCAUUCGUCAACAAGCACAGUUAUUCAAGCCUCAAGGAAGAGAAACAAAUAGUCCUGAAAAGAACAGCACAAAGUUCCAUCAAUUUUAUAUCUUGUGUGAACUCAAAAUUAAUAGAUGAUAAGUACGGUAACUAAUACGGGCUUUCACUUUUGUUCCAUUUUUAUCCGACGUACAGGUCUUUCACUAGAGAGGGUAAUAGGCAUCUGAGGAUAGAACUGAAGCAGUGAAUUAACUUGUGGAAACGCAAAGCUAUCAAGAUCUUACAUUAUUGAAGGCUAUAAAGCUGGCUAAUAAAUCAUCGACAAAAAGAGCUCAGUAAGAAUCCCUAAACUUCAAAAAAACCAUUCUCUAGUUACAAUUAGAGAAAUUCAACUUCCUUCUUCCUAUCAUUAAGUGUACAAAAUGAAGCUUCACCAAUAUGAUUGCUUUUGUUUUUUAUAAGAGUUUAACCAAUAGGAUUGUUGAUUGUAGCAAGAGUUCCAUUCUCUAACAUUGUUCUUUAUAGGAAACAAAAAAGAGGUCAACUUUUUUUUCUUUUAACAAGGAACAGCAUCACAGUGAUAUAAUCAAAAGGAUUAAAUGUUCAAGAGAUACAAACUCUUCAAAAUCAGAUUUUAAAAACAUUUAGUAACAAAGAAGAAGAAAGAAAAUGAAAAAACAUAAUGAAAAAUUUUGAAGAUCAGAAAUCCAACCAAGAAAAAAGAAAGAAAUUAGGAUAGUUGAUUGCUAAAUAAAUGCUAUAAAUUUCAAGUAAAUGUUUUUUUUCCUCAAUUUAACAUAUGAUGCUUCCUACAAAUCUCUGCCUCCAGACCAAGGAGAUUUUGAAUUUUGCUUGGUUUUAUUUCCAAACCUUUAUAAGAUCAAUAAUAUGCCUCUGUUUCUGAAAAAUUAAAUAAAUAAAUAAAAAUUCAGUAAAAUUUAACCAACAAAAAUGCAGUGUUUCAAAAGUAAAUGAACGAGGACAAAGAUAGUGCAUGCUCCAUGCAUAUGCAUUACACACGCACACACUGAGAACCUUAUAGUCAUAAAGAUCACUUCCAGCAUAGCCACUACUUUCACUCAAUUUCCCACUAAGCACACGCUCGGGAUCAUCAUCUGUGUCUGGAUCAACCCCAUUUUCCACAUUGUGAUAGCCAUUUCCUUUCACAUCAAGAUUUUCAUCAUCAGUGGAGUCAUCACUUCCACUAUUUUCAAUCUGAGAAUCAGCUGAAAUUGAGCAUCUGUGUAGAUUCUCAUCCUGGAAAUAAAUCAAAAAAAUAAAAGGGAUGCAUAAUCAUAGAACAAAAAAGUUUGAAAUGCAAUUAAUAGAUUAUUAGACUGUUUUUCAAUAUUGUUAUCCAACUACUAACAUGUUUGUUUUCCCUCUACUAGAACAAAAAGAUUAUAUGUUGAAGAUUCUUUCGUUUAAUGAUGAACUCUAUAUGGAAGGAUAUACCAGCGUGGAAUACAGUCCAUCCCACAAGGAACUGAAACAAAAUGAGAGAAUGCAAAAAAGAGAAAAGAAAAAAAAAAAGUGGAGAGCAUCUUCCAACUUGGCUGAAAUCAUUUCAUACAAAGAGGAUAAAGCUCAAAACUAAUACGCAGUCCUCUAUCGUUAAGAAAAUGCUUAGGAGGCAAAUAUCUUACAUCAAAAAUAUUCUCAAACUCCUCCAAAAGUGUUGUAACAAUUGCUUGGGCAUUAUUCGCCGCAUUGGCAGCAGCUAGCAACUGGGCAGAGUUAUCACCACUUACAUCAAACUCAUCUUCCAACUCACAUUCACCAGCUAAUAAAGGCCGUAACAGCAAAGGUGCCAUGCAAGCAGCAACAGCAGAUGGAGUCAUCCGAUUCUCGUGAGCAUGAGAAGAGAUGGUAUGCAUCAUCUUUAAAACUCUGGCAAGAGAAUGAAAACAUCAAAUUGACAUAUUGGGAAAUGCAGCAAACAUAGGAAGUAGCAAAAUUUGCAGCACUAUUUAAAGAUAGAUGAUUCAAGUGAGCCUAACAAAGUACCAAGAACACAGAAAGCUUACAGCAAAAGAAAUAAAUAACUAAAUUUAAAUGGAAAAACAAGUUUUGAUUGAGAAAAAAUUAAAGAAAAAAAAUACCUAAUUAGUAAUUAGGACAUGUAUAUAUACUAAGCCGAAAUUAGAGAAACAAGAUGAUUCCAAGCAAGAAACAAACCAUAAGCGAAAGAUCAUUCUUACAGAGGCAAGUGCAUUGGAGCUAUCAUAAAAUGCAAGAAUGUUAUAAAUUAUAAUUCUAGAAUGCAUAGCAUAAGAUCAACCGUCUACAAACUGUUAUUAACUGUGAUCUUUAACUUCGCAGGAUGAAGAAAAACAAAAUCAAAACCAAGAGAAAAUAUAAAAUAAAUAAUCAAAAUUACAAAUGUUGAUAAGGAUGAUGUGGGACACGAAAAAAAUGCAGAGAACAGGGAAUAGGGAUCAAUGAAGACAUUUUGAGUUGAGACCUGAGAGAGAUCAGUUGCUAAAUAAGACGUGUACUAGAGCAUUUAAAUGUUUAGACAUUAUAAUAUUAACUUAAAAUUCACACCAACCUAAAACAUACAUUCAUUUCAGGUUUUACAAACUGAAUACAUAAACGUCUUUUAAGGCAACUGUUCUAUUCUAUUCUUAAAUUACCAGUUUCCGUUACUACAUACCAAAUGCCCAUUAGACACUUGCCAUAAAUUAAGAUUUCAAUGACUAAAGAGAAUGAGAUGAUCGGCCAAUUGGUAGACCAAGCCAUGAAAGCCUUUCCUUCAUCAGUACUAUUUGCAAUACGAUUUUUUUUUAUAAACACUUUUUGCAAUAUGAAUAUGUCACAAUAAAAGAUUCAAAAAAUUAAUUAGAAAGAAGUGCAAUUACAGAUUAACAUCUAACCUUUGUAAUAAACGCCGGUUUGGUUCAGGAAAAGUCUCCAAUAUAGAUGAUCGCAUGGCAUUAAUCCGUGCCUCUUUUCGAUCAAUUUCUUAAACAAUAAGAACAAUAGUUCAAAUGAUCAAUCCCAAUACAUUUACAUUUUAUGGACAAAAUUAAAAAUAAAUAAAUAAGCCAAAAAGUGAUCAUCCCUGAUUUAAGAUGAUUUGUUAUAUCAUCCUCUACUUUAAAUGACGAAUUCUCUCGCAUUCUAUCCACAACUUAUAAUUAGCUCCACCAGAUUUCUCUUUCACACACAUAAAGUUUCAAAGAAUUAUAAUGGGGUUAGCAAACUUACUAUAAGCUUCAAGCAAUGCAGUGCAGCACGAAGCUGGGACUGGUGAUGAUGGAAGCUCUCUUAGAAUGUGCUACAUUUUCAAAUCACUCAUUAAGGGGUUGAAAUUGUACAUAUAUAUUAAAUAUCAAAAUAUCGUUGAAAUAGUAAAGGAAAGUACCUUGAUACAAUCACCAAUUACAUGAGCAUCCUCAUCAGAACCAAACUCUGUCUUGCCUGGAAGAGACAAAGCAAAUUAGGGCAUGUGUUCCAAUUUGACAUGCAUCUAGUUGAUAGCAAAUGGAUCAUCUGCAUAGUUGUUGGUCUACUUAUUCUCUCCCUCAUUAAUUAGAAACAAUUAGAUAAUACCUUGUUCAUAUUCUUGUACUCUACGGUCUACCUCUUCAACAUCUGCAGAUUGCCGCAAAAUCCCUUCUACCUUAGUGCCUGAAAAGAAGUUCAAAGUAAUAAAAUUGAUUUGACAAUAUGUCAACAUACCACGUAUUAAAUCACCAAUCAACCAAAAAACUUAGAUGGAAGAAUUACAGUAAAUUUAAUAAUAUUACCACUUUAACGCUCCCUCUCGCUUGUGGGCAUGAAAAUUUGUAGAAGAACCAACAAAAGGAAAUGACAUAAUAGAAUUCGAACACAAUACCUCCUACUCUUGUACCAUGUUAAAUUACCAAUCAACCCAAAAGUUUAAGUUGAUGGGUUAUGGUAAAUUUAGUUAUAUCAAUACUUUUAACCCCAAGUUUGCAUGUCUGCAUCAUAAUCAGCCAAGAAUAUCUUAUUCUAUAACUUAUUGCAACUCCAAUUCUCCAUGCCUUGUUUUGUAUCUCAUUUUAUAAUUUAUUGUUUGGUUUGCCUGAAAAGUGUUAAAUAAAUCAAAAGUGAUGUGUGUUUAUAAUACACAGUCUUAACUCAUCAAAUUCAUCUGGUUAUUUGAAAAUGAGUCUUUGACUGGUUUCCUUAUGAAGUUAACAUCGCUGACUUCCUUCUUUGUAGCCCCUCGUCCUCUUUGGUGCUGGCCCACAUUGAUGUAUUUUGUGCAGUAGGCCUCUUGAUAUUGUCUCGAUCAUAUUUUUGUUGUUAGUCUAUAGCUAUGAGAAUAUUGGUGCAGCAUUUGAAGUUCUUUGCAACUAAUCCAUUCUCAUGCCUCUUCGUAGGGAAUUGACACCUCUAACUUUUUUCAUGGGGAGAUAUUGACCGAACAUUCAUCAAAUCUCUAUGGAGUUCCAGAGGUAUUGAAUGGACUUCCUUGGAUGCUAUUAGAUCCUCAGGUGAUCUUAUUAUCAUCUGGAAGGUAGCAUCCUUCCCGGUCUCAUCUAUAACCAAAGAUGCUAACAGUCCUUUUCUAUAGCUGAUGGAUUCAAUUUUUGGUUAAUAGGUGUUUACAAACCAUCUACUGAUUUUGAAAAGAAUUUUUUCAUCCAAGAACUCCAUGAUCUCUUCAGCCUGGUGGAUGAAAACUGGUUUAUUGGUGGAGAUUUCAACUUCCUCAGAUGGCCUCAGAAAAAUUCCAACUCUUGUAGACCUACUAUAUAGAUGUCUGCCUUCAAUUCUUUCAUAGAACAGAGGGAUCUUACUGAUUUGCCCCUUCCAAAUGACAGUUAUAUUUAAACCUGGACAGACUUUAGAAAUCUACCUACUCAUACCAAGAUUGAUAGAUUCCUGUGCACAGAAACUGUGCCGAACAAAUUUAGUGAUGUGAUGCUUUUGUUAAAAGGCUUGAGCGACCCACAUCAGAUCACUUCCCCCUUCUCCUUACACUUGGUAAACAACAAUGGGGCCCAUCACUUUUUAGGUUUGAAAACAUGUGGAUUGGUUGUAAUAGUUAUCUUCCUUUUGUUGAAGAUUGGUGGUCUUACUAGCCACACGUUCAUUAAAAAGCUUGAAGGGAUGAAAUUUGCUAUCAAGGAAUUGAAUCAACAGAUCUUUCGGAAUAUUACAUCUCAACGAGACUCAAUGAUGAAGAAACUGUCCCUUAUUGUUUCAAACUUUGAGAAGGAUCCUUCACUAAGACACGCAUUGAUAGAAGAAAUUCUAUCAAAGAGCAGCUUCUUUCCAUCAGUGCUAAUGAGAAAAUGUGAUAGACAGAAAUGUAAAUCCAUUUGAUUUCUGAAAGGUGAUAAUAGCACAUUCUUCUUCGACAAAUUUGCUGCUGCCAAAAGAAAAGGAAAAGCUGCAUAACAGAAAUCCUAGGCAUUAGUUUACUCCAAGAUAUGGACAUUGAAGCUGAAUUUAUUUCUUUCUACAAAAACAGAUUCUUGCCUCAUCCGAGUGCAUGAGUCCACACCAAACAGAAUUGCCUCCUUGAAGCUCCUUUCGCCGAGGCUGAGAUUUUGCUCUCAGAUAGCGUCAAAUAUUUCCUUUUAUCAAUAAUAUUGUCUCUUAUCCAAGAAAAAAAAUCUUCAUGGGUUCUUUUGAUGCUCAGCCCACAUUGGUGUGCUGAGCCAAUAAUUCACAAAGGAUUCCAUCAGAUUUUCCCAGUUCUUUUACUGUAAACAUUCAGAUAUUCUCGGAUCUUCUUUUGCUAUAAACAUUUGGUUGAACUAUCGGAGUUACUUUGGAAUGAUUUGGGAUUUUCCUUUUUGAUGGAUCCUUUAGAAUCAUUUAGGUUCUGUGUAAGGACCCUGAUGGAAGAGGUUCCACACGAACCUUUACGUAAGAUUGGGAAACUUCUGUGACAGGCAAAUUUCUUUACCAUUUUUUGGAGUAUCUAGCUCAACAAAAUAGGAGGUUUUCUAUGGUGUGAACAUGGGAAGUGGUUUAGAGUACUUAUUUACUAUAGUGUUUUCCAUAAGGUCAAAAGAGAAAAGGUAAAGUGAAAUGGCUUUUCAGGACUAUGUUCAGCAUUUUCACCAUUGGUGUGUAAUAGUAUGCAAAAUUUGGUGUGAGACGAUGAUUUUGGAGUCGGUCUAGAAUUUUAGACUCAUUGUUGGCCAAAAGCAACAAAAUUGUCCAAAUAGCUGAAUAGCUCAAUCUUGAUUCUAGAUGGGCAUGAAAUUGUAGCACCAAAUGAUGUUUUACUUUUAUCAAAGCAUUUUGAGAUGCUAGAGUACUAAAACUCAAACCAUUGCUGUUAAUAAUCAGAAACAAGGGCAGCUAAAUCAUUAUUACAAGAACGUUUGAAUUCCUUACAACUUGAUAUAACAAAUCUAUAAAUAGAAAUAAAAUAAUAAAAAUUCAAAAGAAACCAACUGAGAAUAGCACGGAUUUCAUUAUAAUUUCAACAUAGCCCCUUACCGAAUGUUUCAAGAAACCGAAGUGCCUUCUCAAGGAAAGAUGGACCUCCAUCAAUAUCUUCCAAUGCAAGUAAAAUAGGUCUUCCCACCACCAAAGAUUUAACAGGACGCUUAUCCCUCCCUGGUUAUAAUUAAUGGAACAUUGAUGGAUCAAGCAAGCAAGUAUAACACGCAUAUACCUACCCCAAGCAUUUGAAAAGGAAUCAACCAUCAUAAUGAACAGGUAAUUGCAAGAUGAAGCAGAAUACAAACAUGGAUGAAAAGAGCUGUCAAUUUUGUCAUUAGUGUCGCUCCGAAAAAUCCCAUUAUGUCCCAUGACAAGGGCAGCACUUGGUGCUUGUGCAAGGGCUUGUUCGAGUGCAGUUUUCCAUUCAAACAGAUCAUCUGAGGUUUCGGCCUUUUCAUGUGUGAGGCACAGGAACAGAAAGACCAGAUUAAUAAAAACUUCUAGGAAACAAAAUAUUCUUUGCAGAUAUGAUAUGGCCUAACUAGAGUACCUUGAGAGUGAAAGCUCGUCCAUCACGACCAUCAGGAAACAAUACAGUCAAGAGCUUCUUAUCCUCUCUAACAACAACACUACAUGAACCAAGUUGCAUGCUUAACUUCAACUAUAGCUAAUAAAAUUUGAAAUUCACAUUCAUAUAGAAAAACUUACCUCCCUGAAUUAUUCAAGUCUAUGCCCCCCAAAGUAAGAUUUACUUCACCCCCUCUUUGAGGAAGUGCACUCUAAAUAGAAAAUAAGAAAAGAUAUUUCAGUUGAUCUAAAUCCAUCAUGCUACAUCGUUGUCUACAUUUGAAGUUAAUGCAGCUAACAAGUGAAUGAAUCUUAUACAAGCAACAACAUUUAUCGGAGCAGUCAAUGAACACUUGAUUCAUCAGGAAACAAAUAAACUAAAUAACAAAGGGGGGAGAUGUUAAGCAAAAAUAUGCAGAAUGUUGCUCGAAGGGCCAUCCAAAGUACAAAAUAGAAAAUCUUCAAAAGAUUACCAAGUCCAAACCCACCAUUGUCUCAAGGAAAAGAAACUGUGUAUCCUCUUAAAGAGGUGUCUAGAUUUCUCUUCAUCAGUUUGAAGAUCCUCUUUUCUUUCCCGAUUUAAUCCCAUUUUUAAUAAUAGGAGGAAGUUGAAC